rnacentral:lncRNA from 1 species
UGGUCGAAAGUGAUAUCUUCUAUGAUUUUUGGCAUUGGCAGAGAAGGAAUUGAAGCUGGUCCAGGAGCUAUUCAGCCAGGCAACAGAUAACUGCUUCAAUUUGAAGAAACCAGAAUAAAAAUUGAGGACGCUUCUCUUCUUUACCUUUUUCAUAAAAUUUAUGCAGUAGAGAUGAUGACUGAGAGAAUAGGCAUUCUACCGUUCGAAUAGUGCAAAGAGACCUGAGAUGUCGCAGCUCUGUGUGGGUGAGUUUUGAAGUCCUUGCCGAGUAAAAGUUUCUCAGUGCACAAAAAGCAUCAAUAUGGGCAUCAAGUCAACCAAACAAUCACUCAAAUGAAGUAGUUCUGGUGAAGUAAGAAGUCUAGUCUUGAAUCUUUAAUUGCAAAAACAAACUGUAAUGUUACAUUAGCAAUGGAAAGUUCUCUGUUUUGUUGUUCACCUUCCUUCCCUCUGAAGUUUUCAAAGAUUGCUUUCUUACUUUUUGGUCCUUCUGAGGAAGGUCUUGGUAUCGGAUGGAGCAUGGGCUUGUUUGCCCUUGCAGUGUAGAUCAAGAAUCAAGAAGGCAACUUUUAUAGUUGUGAAAUUCAAGAAAUCAGAGUUUCCCAUGUUUGAACGAGAGAGGAGAACAGGGCGGGCAUCGGCUUUGAACACUAGACCCCUAAUGGGCGUGUGUCGGGUUAUGGCUAGCUUAACCUCUUUAGGGUGCUCUUCUGGCAGGCUUCGUGGCCCCAAAUAAAGGGCCCAACCAUUAGUUUAGAACUCUCCCAGAGUGUACGUAAACAGCCAAGAGAAUAGUAUAUCCUCUUCUCCAAAAGGGACCAUGAGAAUGCUCGGCUUUCUGGUUGAACUGCCCACAUUGUUGGUGUUGUUAGGGUCCCAGAUGACGGACAUACAUUGCUGGCCUCUCUGGGCCACGUGAGCAAAGGGUCAGAAACUGAGGUUGCCAAUGUCUUUGGUGGGUACUUGGCAUCGAUGGCUUGUUAUGGCCUAAUUUGUUGCCUUCUGCUACCGACUAAACUCUCCACUACAUUUUGGGGGAUGGUGCUAAAUAUGAUGUACUUUUGGGCUAGUGAGAGGAAAUCUUCCUCAGAAAGUUUAGUCUUACACCUAACAUUGGAUUUUUCAAUCUCAUUAAAUAUUUAUGGACAGUCCAGGUUGUUGCCUUUAUCUCUUGGUCAAAUCAGCCACUGAUACUCCAGGAUCAGUUUGGGAGAAGUAUGUCUGGAACUGGACUUGCAUGUCCCACCAAUCUCAAACGGAACUCGUGGGCAAACUAAGGUACCACUUUGAGGGAAACCGCAUCAACAUAUAGGACCCUUAUCAAUUGAUGUUGGACAAUAUUUGAGUGGCAUGUGGAAAAAUAUGCAAUUAGGGAGGCAUGUAGGGGCCCAUAAAAAUUUGAAGUUGGAACUUCCUAUUCGGAUAGUCAAAUCCAAAACUUGAGCUAUUUGGUGGAGAAAACCACAAGAAUAUAUAUAGCACAUGAGACCAUUAUCAAGUAAUGUGUGACAAUAUUUCAACAGCUAUGAUUUCACAUUCACGAGUGAACAUAGUGAAUUAAGGCACUUUAUACUUUCUAGGGACAGGUCGAUGUGAUUAGGGAAUGAUUUCCUAGACAAAAGCCUUUAGUAUAGGUCCAUGCAAAUAUGUCUAUUGUCCUAGUAAGAUAUUCUUUGUCCAAAGGAUUGGGUACUCUCGGUUCAUUUUCAUCGAGUUAUUCUUCAUGGUCUUGUCAAUUUUUAGUCUCCUUGGAGGCUAGGUGUAGUUCCCCACUUCUCUUGCCAACAUUCACAUUGACCUCUCUAGGAACCACUUGUCUUUCUCCUAACAUUAGCAUCGAAGGGUUCAGAUUGUUCAUCCAAUUCUUUGUAAGACUGAAUCCUGAAUUUCCAAAAAGGUCCGAGUUAAUCGAUCAAAAGGAUAAUCCUGCACACUUUCACUAGGAGACUGAGACAGUGGGCUUUCGUCCCCUGGACCAUCCCUAGCCGAGGAGGCUUUUGUUGGGUUAGAACCCAACUUUUGGUUAUUGGAGUAGUUGGCUUCACAAUGGUGAAGCCCAAACAUGCUUCCAGUACUUCGGCAAGACAUUCUAUUCUCCAACCACGGUCGCCAUAAAAACAUGUAAGGUGGACUUUCGCGAGAUUGUGAUCCCCAGAAACUCAGUGAUUUCAAUUAGUAAUAAAAGUCCAAGCGAGGGUGAUCGAUGACCAAUUAAAAUGUUAAAAUUGAGGUUGAAUCCAAACUAAAUGAAUUCUAACGCGUCUUGAAGUCUCGAGAACUCUGAAAAAAAGUGAAUUAUUGAUGAAGCACAAACUGUAGAUUGGAAACAAGGAAAUUGUAUUGUAAUUUUGUUGAACCAUAAUGGAUGGCUUACAUUCCUUGAGGCCAUACUUACUCGAUCACUAAAACUGAACAUAUAACAUUAAUGGCGUUCGCUAGGAUGCGUGGAGAAAGUAAAAAAGUUAACAAAACACAACAGGAAUGCUUCUAUAAACAACGACAAAUAUUGAAACUAGGAAACCUAAUAUAAAAUGAAAUUCAAAUCCGAAUUCAGGUUAAUCUGAUCUACUCUAAAUAACCUCCUCAUCUUCAUAUCUUCACAAUUAUUCUAAUGUGCUAUUGGGAUUUUGUGGUGCCUCUCGUUGAUUCUUCUUUUGUCUUUUAAAUGGACAAUUGCGUUAUACAUUCUAAUCUUCCUCCACAAGAAUCAUUAGACAUCUUCGCUUGCACGCUACUCUAGGUGAUUUGCAACUGCUCUUGAUUUCUUAGCAAUGGUUACUCACCGGUAGAUAAAUCCUCCUUAGGUCAGUCUUUAACUUCUAUGCAUGUUUCGAAUCAAUUGAUAGUCACCUAGUAUCAUGCAAUUGGCUCAAAUACUGUCAAUUAGAAACUUGUGAUCGAUGAGUUCAUUAGAAGUUUCAUAUAGGCUUUGUGGGUUAAAUGUAUUGUCAUGGCCUGAUUUGAACUUAAUUUGGAUUGCUAACUUCUUCAUGUUUGGGCCUAAAAUUUAGGUCCGAUUUCAACAUGGAGUUAGUGGAAUAAAAGAGGAAAAGAAAAUUAAAUGCAACGUCUUUCCAUGCCAUCGAGAAUGAAGAAAGAAAGAUUGACCUCUAGGUUGUCCGGUGUUGGUUGAAGAUGCCCCGCCGCGGGGAAGGGGGGGGGGGGGCGGUUGGGUUGGGGAGAUCGAGAUACCUGAUGAAAUAUGUCCACGGCUAAUGCUGCACACUAUUCCUCAAGUAAAUCAACAUCUCCGUCCCAAGUUUCAUGCUAAUAAAGCCGUGAUUUUGGAAAAGUCUCAAAUAGAAAUAUGAAGUGCCCUCUUUUUACUCAAAAGAGAAUUAUAGUCCGUCUCAAAUAAAGAUCCAAAAUAAUCAUUUGGUCUCAAAAAAGGAUCUAGCUCGUCGACCGGCGAAGAAAUGCAUCUCCCAUGUCUGGUUAGGGAUAAUUUCAUCCAAAAAUAUUCUUUUUUCGUUUUCCUUUACCCCUGUUCAUCUUCGUCUUGAUCCUACCUAUGUUGUCCCUGCUCAUCAUCUUCUUGGUCAAUGUUGAAGACAGGCAUUGCCCAGAUCAAGAACAGCGGGACUCGUUGGCCACGGGUAAGGGCCGGCGAGGCCACCCUCGCUAGAUUGGCAGCGGGUGAGGUCUUGCAAGCCGACCCUUUGGCGAGGGUGGCCUUGCCUGUGGCCGGUGAGGGCCGUCACGGCCGGCGGGGUUGGCGAGCCCUCGUCGGAGACCAUUUGCCUGCUGUUGAAUUUGGAUUAUCUUGCUGUGUUUUGCUUUCCCAAUGGGGUUUCUAGAGGUUUGAUGCUCGCGACUCGACGUCGCGAACUGAGAAUUCCCUCUAAAAGUUCGUUCCUUUUUCCUUGAAUGUAUCUGUACAUAUCUAUAGUGCGUCCUUUGCUGACGACUUGUCGCUUACAUGUCUCUGUUGGGUCCUUACUGAAUGAGAUGGUUAGCUCAAUUUCUUAUGCUGCGGAGCUUUCUGCUCGUGAUGCUGAUUGUUCGGCGGGGUCGGGGGUGGUGGGGGGUGGGCGUAUAGCAAUUCAGAGAAAUCAGAAUUUCCUGUAGUUCGAGGCAUGAUUUGUGAUCAAGGCGGGAGGUGCUCUGUUUGGUGAAAGAUGAGUUAAGCUGAAGUUGCUACUUUCGUCAAGCCGUAUGGCUAUCUGGUAUGCCGCGAUAGGACGUCCCCCUCUCGCAGUUGUCAUUCCGCUCAUUGCUUUCCGAGGGCCAGCGAGGGCCUGCAAGCCUUCGCCUGCUGCCGAUCUGACAGGGGCGGCCUCUUCGGCCGCUGGUACCCAAAUUCGGUGUUCUUGAUUUGGGCAAUGCCUAUCUUCAAGAUCGACAAUAAAGAUUAUGAAUAGGGACAGCCAUGGGUGGAAUCAAGAAGAAGAUGAACAGAGGAAAAGAAAACGAAAAAAUAAUAAUUUUCGGAGGAAAGUACCUCUGACCACACCAUUGGAAUAUGCAUCGGAGAUGUAUUUGUUCGCCAGUCGGCGAGUUAGGUCUUUCUUGAGACUAAAUGACUAUUUUGGUUCCUUAUUUGAGAGAGAUUACACUUCAGAUCUUUUUUGAGAUUAUGAGGGCACUUUAUGUUCCUAUUUGAGAUUUUCUCUAUGAUUUUUGUUGGCUUGUUUUGCUUGCCUUUGUACGAUGGUCACAUGCAAUUAGGCAUCUUGGCUAGUUGGGCAAAACCACCAUAGGGUACUUGGGUUGACGCUACUCAAGUCGAAAUGAAGUCAGUAGUCCUCAUUAUAAAAAUUGCUGUGGACAAUGCUUGACUCUAAAAGGAGCAAGCGUCGCUCAUUAUAAAAAUUGCCGACCAAUUGCUUUCCAUUUAGAUGUGCUUGGUUUCAAUGUAUUCUCACGCAACUAUAUGUGCUGUGAUUUUUGUCAUUUAUGUCUAAUGCUAUAUACUAUUUCUCAAGUAAAUCAACUUCUCCAUUGCAAGUUUUGUGCUGUUAUUGGCUUGUUAUGCUUGUCUUUGUCCGAUGGUCAUAUGCAAUUAGGCAUCCGGGCUAGUUGGGCAAAACCACCAUAGGGUACUUGGAUUGACCAUGCUCGAGUCGAAAAGUAUCAUUAGUGCUCAUUAUAAAAAUUGCUAUGGACAAUGCUUGACUCUAAAAGGAGCAAGUGUCGCUCAUUAUAAAAAUUGACGACCAGUUGCUUGCCAUUUAGAUGUGUUUGGUUUCAAUAUAUUAUCACGCAACUAUAUACGCUGUGAUUUUUGUCAUUUACGUCUAAUGUUGUACACUAUUUCUCAAGUAAAUCGACUUCUCCAUUGCAAGUUUCAUAAAGCUGUGAUUUUUGUCGGCUUGUUAUGCAUGUCUUUGUUUAUAACUUACUAUAGAUAGUUUUACUUUUAUUUUAUUUUUUUUGGUAUGUUAUUGAGUUUGUGAGACUUAAUUUCAAUAUCAAUGUAAUGAUCUUGUUGUUUGUCAAAUUUUUUUGUCUUUUUCAUUUUUUGGAUUUUGCUUUUACUUGAUGAUGCUGUUGGCAUGUCUAUGGUCGUAGCUAAAGUGCUGGUGUGGCUAGUGAUGUCUAGUAGUAGUGGGUCUAUUAAGAUGGUUCGGUUCGAGGCUUGUGUUGUUUCUAGUGCAAGUGUGCAGUGCGCACAUCUUGCACCGGGUGGUACGGGUGCAAGGCUCGACUUGCAUCAACACCUUUUGCGGCAUACCCGCAAUUAGUACAGUGGCUGGUGGCUGGGGUGCUAGUGUGGUGGCUAAUGGUGGUAGCUGGUGAUGCCUUGUGGUGAUGGGUUUGUGGUGGGAAUUUGGUUGGCGGCUCAUGCCGCACUUGGUGCAAAUGUGCAGUGUGCACAUCUUGUAUCAGGUGGUGUUGGUACAAGCUGUACCUUGUGCAGUAGACCCACAACCAGCACAGUGAUUGGUGGCUGGGGUGCUAAUGUGGUGGCCAGUGGUGGUGGUGGGUGAUGGCUGAUGGUGCUGGCGGCCGGUGAUGCUUGAUGGUAGUGGGUCUAUAGUAAGGGUUGGGAGCUCAUGCAACACCUAGUGCAAGUGUGCAGUGUGCAUAUCUUACACUAGGUGGUAUUGGUGCCAAGUGGGUGCGAGGCUCAGCUUACAAACACCUUCUAUAGUAGUAUACCACUAGCACAGUAGUAGCUAGUCGUGGCUUGAGGUGGUGGAUGGGGUACUUGGUGUGGCUGGUGGUGGUGGCUGGUGGCCGGUGGUGACUGAUGAUGGUGGUUGGUGUAAUUUUUAGGGGAAACCUACAAAAAUUGACACUUAACUGAUAACAUUCUAAAAAAUUUAACAUUUAAAUGUUCAAUUUUAACCGUAAGUGAUACUUAAGUUAUCACUUCAAUAAUAACUUGACACUUAAGUGAUAUUUUUUUAUCACGAUUAAUACUUAUGGCACUCGAGUAAUCACUCGUGUUUGUCCUAUGUAUAUGCUGGUUUGUAGCAAACCAGAGAAGCUGCUAGUUUAUAUUUAGUUCAACUUAUAGCAACUUCAUUCAAUUCAAUGUUUUGCUGUCGGUUUAUGUAUAUAUUCAGCUCAAGUAAAGAAGUCACCACAAUACAUUGACUCAAUACACAUCCAUCAUUGUUGGUUUAUAUUCAAGAACAAGUAAAAAUAUAGUACGACCAUCAUUUCAUUCACUCAUUCUCUUUCCUUGACCUCUCCACAAGCAUAAGAAGUAACCCAUGAUAUAUAUGAUAGCACAAACAAUAACAAAGCUACAACGAUCUUGUGGACAACACAAACUUCUUCUCAUCUUCCAUAAAAAUGCCUACAUUUGAUCCAAAACAAUUGCAUUUGUCCACUCAUUUUCAAUUAUGGCAGUCAAAGAAACUUCUUCUCAUCUUUCAGUGCCUAACAUUUCAUCAUAAAGUAGGAUAGAUAACAAAACAAUACCACAAUAAAUGCUUGGUAACAUUUCCGUUCAAUUUUCAUUCUUGAAACUUCAUUCUACAAAUGUUUAGCCGAAGAUGCUUGAGCUUGUAUUGAAUCAACAUCGUCCAAGUUGUCCACAAGCGUAGAUGGAGGUUGAUGUCAUCCAUCAAGUAGAUUGGAUAUCACUUUUGUGGCUCGAUGAGAGAAUUUCACAUCGACCCAUUUGAAGUAUUUACACUUUGACCAUUCUCUCUAUCGGGCACAUCCAUAAAAUCUUCUCCCGGGAUUCAUUCGAGUCCACGAUGUUCUUUUUGGACUCGGUAACCCACAAAAACAAAAACGCUUACCUUCGCCUUCGCUUUAGUGAGAGGAAUUUGAAGCACUGCUAAAAAUCUUGCUCUCUAUUUUCAAGAUUCAAUGGUGAAAUUUUAGGCAAAUCGAAAUUAAGAUUCGGGAUUAGGGUUUGAGCACUUCAAUAGGGAUUUUGGUUGAUUUAAGGUUUUAGAUUUGGGGCUUUUUGGGAGAUGACGUUGUUUUGACCGAUUUAGGGCUUUUAUUUUGGACAACUAUGAAAACGACAUCGUUUUGGGUCAGUCAGAGCUAAGUCAGCUCUCCAACAAGCCACGUAGGCAAACAAAAUUAAUAAUAAAAAAAAAUUACCACGUCGGAUUUUCAACGGGGUUCGCCGGAAGUAGCACUCAAGUAUCUCAUUUUAAAAAAAUAAAUUAUACUUAAGUUUCAUUUUACUAACUUUUGGUACUUAAGUGUUCUCUUAUGCUAAGUUUUGGCACUUGGAUUAUUCUUUUUCCAGAAAAUAUUUAUCUAAAUCCCAACUUGCUUUGUCAUGCUCAUGCUUGUCUAUCCUACUCAUAUUUCUCAAUUUCCGAAGUUCAAAAUAUUGGGAUUUAACCCAAAAUUACUUGAAAAUUUAAGUAUAUAUCCAUUGCAUUUACUCACCUUUAUAUUCGAAUGCAAUUAAUUUGCAGAUUUGAUCUUGUCGUGAGAGCAUUGGCUAGAGUAGUGGGUGAAAGGAGGAUUUUGCAUGAUGCGUUUCAAAACCAGCCAAAGGAUCGACUUAACCAUCUCUACUCACAUGAAUUAAAUACUGCAACGGGUGCCCUCUCAUUCCCUUGGGAUUAUUUAUCUCCAUAAAGCCCUUCAAUUCUGUUUGGCUAUCUCGUUCACCCUCUUCAGCCAUUUAAUGCUUUCAGGUUCUGUAAAGCUAUCCUCUAAAUCUCCCAAUUGCUCCGCCCAAAGACAUCCUCUAACCGUAAACCUGCAUAGCAUAACUUAACACGUCUAAGUUUAGUUGCACUUGCGCAGGUGUUCGAUUAGUAGAUGCUAUUCAGAUAAGAGGCUAAUCUGAGGACCGAUGCAACUAACCUAGCCACUCAAAUGCCUCUUUAUCCCAACCCAAGUGUGAUGCAGCUAAUAAGCCCCAUGGUGAUCGAAGAAAUUGAAUCAACAAAACAAUAAUUAAUAUAGCAAUAAAUAAAUUUCAAGAAAUUUAAUUAUAAUCAUCCUAGCAGACGGACUGAUGAUUAAAGUAACAAUUAAUAGUGGAAGGACACAAAUAUUUUCUUAUGAAGUAGAGUUAUGAUGAUAGAAUAUUGGGAUAAGUGCAUUGAAUGUUCUAGAAUUUCUCACGAAAGUGCAAUUGAGUUCUAAAUUUUCAAAAAUUGCAAUCAAGUUCUAAAACCUGUCACAAAAGUAAUUGUGUUAUAAAAUUUUUACGAAGUGCAAUCACGUUCUAAAACUUGUUGGGAUUUUCUAUUUAUCAAGUUGGACGAAGUUAAUGGAAUAUUUGAUCACAUUGACAAGUUUUAUGACUUGAUUAUACUUUUUUUUUUUUAAGUUUUAGGAUUUAAAUCACUUUCUAAAUGCUCUAAGGAUAAGUAUUAUUAUCUCUUGAAGUCCUUCUGAGCUGAGAGAAUUAAAAACUUCAUUGAUUUGAUAAAGAGUAUUAUUAUCAAGAGAUAGCUUGUUGAGUUUUUUGUUGACUUCAUAACGUCCAGCAGUAUGGCCUUCUUUUCCACAUUGAUAGCAUGUUAUACUUCAAUUGAUUUUUUUUGUUUUGUUUUUUGUUUAGUUUGAGAAGGGUAGGAUGAAGUUUUUCAGGAAAAAAAUUUUAGUGUGAUAUUUUUUUUUUUAUAUUUAUGAUUUGGUUUGUUUGAUCUUCUAUAAGAUAAUUAUCCCACCAACAUUUUAAUUGUCCAAUAAAAUAGCCAUCGAUAUUCUAAAUGUUCUUCAUAUCAAACAACCAUGGUCUCCAAUUCGUAUAAAACACAACAAGAUGUAUUGUGAAAUAUUUUUGUGAUUAUUUAUAUUUCAAUCAUAUUGUAACGUGUCAUUGCCAUUAAAAUUUUUAUCAUUUGUAUCACUUUGUUUGUUUUACAUAUCCUUUUCAAAUCAACCAUAAUAAUAUUUCAUAUUGUAACAUUAGAUCCUCUAUCUUAGAGCCCGGGAGUUUAUAUGCAUACGGAGAAACCAUGGAAUCGAAUCUCAGUGGAGUACGUGGAUCCUACUAAUAAAUGAAGAUUACUGAAUGUCUCUGAGAAUCUCAGGAAGACGACACUCGGCAAUGACCAAAUUUAGCGACGGAAUCACCCGACAGAGGUACUCAAGCUAAGUUAGAUGAAGAACGACUGAAGCUGGAGCCACCACAAAUAGUCGUCAUCUGAGAGAAGAAGAAAAUAGAGAGAAUGAGUUAUCAGAGGUGAAGGAUCUAUAUGUCCUAUGAACUGAAAGAGAGAGCGCGUGAAGUCUGCGGCGAUAGGAGGUGGUCCGGUGUUGCUGGGCGACGAUGAUGUUGCAGCAGCUUAGGCGGUGACGCAAGGACGGUGAGCUUCGAUGAAGGUGAAGACGUAGUGAUGGAUAACCCACAUGCAUCUCUGAGACUGACGAAGGAAGUGAAUCAAUCAUUUUUAUAUCUCUCUAGUAUUUGAAUCACCAAGAAUUCUUUUCAAAAGUAUAAGUUUUUUAUGGUACCUUCAUUUCAUAGAAAACUCAAUGAUAAAAAGCAUUUUCGAAUAAUAUGAUUAAUUUUCCAUUAUUUGGUAAUAUAUAAUCAAAUCAAAAACGUUUUUUGAUAUUUGGAUCUCAUUAGAAAGUGAUUUUGAUAGUAUGACUUUAUCUUAGGCCAAAAAAAAAUCGAAUUUUUUUAAUUUUUUUUCUUUUUUAAAAGUUCGAAUUUUUAGUUUUUCAUUUUAUUUUUUUAAAAUUCGAAUUUGUAAUUGGUUCUUCAAUGAGUUGUAAAAAGAAAGGGAGAUUAAUUAGAAAAACGUUUUUUUUUACUAUACCAUUUUCAAUAUUAUUAUUAUUAUUAUUAUUAUUAUUAUUAUUAUUAUUAUUAUUAUUAUUAUUAUUAUUAUUAUUAUUAUUAUUAUUUUCUUCUUCCUUUUUCAAAUGCAGAUUUGGUUUAUUGACAAAAUUAUUUGCCAACGAUGUUCAGUUUCUUAUUUUUUUUACCCACGGUUCUCAACAUUUUCACGAUUAAACCCAAUUUGGAGCACGUCCAUUGAUUUUCCUCUUAUAUUUAAUAAUCGUGUUAUGAAAAGAGUAAAAUUAUCAGCAUUUGACAAAGCUUUUGCUAACAAAAAAAAAGACAAAGCUUUUGCUAAGCAAGUUCAUGACAUCAUCACAACAUUCUACUUCAACUUCAACAUACUCAGAAUGCUGCCUUAGUUCUUCCGAAUCAAAGUAGGUCCAUUGCUUCAUGUUUAAAUUUGUGUACCUCAGUUAAGACUAUGCGGAGUGGAAUUCUUGACCGAACACUUGUCUGUUGAAGUCCUCAUAGCCAUUGGAGCUUAACCAAGGCCUUUUCUAUCUUCCUUAAAUAGCCGUGAUACCAAUUGAUUUAAUUGCAAUAUCUAAUAGUUUUCGCGCUAUAUUGCAUAAUUGGUAUAACAGCUGUCAACAGCCAGGAGACUAACAAAUAAGUAUUUGGUCAAGAACUUUGAUCCACAACUCUUUUGCCUGACAGCACAGGAGCUUCUUGGAUUAUAGCCGCGCAAGACGCAAGUGGUGCACUUUAUUAAACACAUUGGAGGUUUUCUGUCGACAUCCAAACUGAGUUGUUUCCAUUAAUAUAUACCGUGAGUUUGGGUGUACUUUAGGACUUGAAAAAUACUUAAACAUGUAUGUGAUCAUAACUCUAUAAUUCUCCUAUUUAUUAAUAGAUUAUUUACAGUUAACUAUUCCCAUAGAGUAAAUACCGACAUUCAGAUUGUCCCAUGCAGAUCUCUUCAUUUAUUUACUAUUCCCCAUUUAUUUCUCUAGUAACUACGCAUUGAAUUAAUUACGAGGUUCGAUAAUUUUUUCAUUAGAUUGAAAAACUGACAUCAUCACCUGACCAAUUCCGACGCCUGAAAUCAUUCAGCAAUAGAGACAAGUCCUUAGCACAACAAAAACUAUUCAAGAGGUGGCUCAUUGUAAGAGUCGCCCAGAUUUUCAAAUCUUAUAGAAAUAUCGUCCUUCAUCCUCCAUCAAGAUACAGGUUUGGCUAACUGUUGUGCCUAUCCGUCUGUAAAUAGGAGAGUUUUCCGGGGGACGGUCCCGUCCUUCAUUUGGUGAGGGUACACACAGGUUAAUGAUGUACAUUCCCAUAUGGACAUAUGGUCUCCUAGGCUGGAUCUCAUUACAUGUUUUCACUACAAUCAAGCAAACUUCUCUAUCAAGAUGGUCUGUAACUAAAUAAGAUAUGAAGAGGAAGUUGCAUUUUCUUUCUCAUUCUUCACUGCAUACAUGCUAUCGCGAGGCAUGAGAAAAUUAAAGGUUUAGAGUGGUAAAAAAGAAGGAACAAUAAUCUGCAGCCAAGAAAGGAAUACUAGAUUUUCAUGACUAUUCUCUGCUAGAACUUCAGGACAUGUAUAAUGAGCUUCCUGUCAAGAGAUCUGUUUUUCUUCAUUCUAAGAACUAUUUUACUAAAAAGUUCCACAUGUAUUACAAGAACGUGGACUACCUGUAGAAUAUAACAACAUACAAUUUUCACUCAAACUGUAUCUGCGACAAUUAAGUGAGGAUUCAUUUCUUCUUGCCUCUUCCUUUCUUAUUUUGCUUAACUUUGGACUUGCAAUUGCCCUUGUUCUUGUUCCGGUUUUCCACACCGCUAGUCUGGGAAAAAGAAGAUGAUGAAGCCUGCUGAUCCUUCUUCACUUCACCGGUUUUUUCAGCUUCCCCAGCUUUGCCCUUCUCUUCCUCAUUUGCUAAGCCCACUUCUUGUCCCGGCAAUGACGACGCAUUUGCACCAUCCGAAUGCACAACUGGUACUACACUGUCGGAAGAUGAAGAGGAAUCCAUGGAAAAUUCAGUCAGAUCUUGCAACUUGCAAGAGCUCUCAGCACUUCCAUCUUUGGGGAAUAGAACUUUCAUAAUCUCUUCUUUGCAUUUGUGCGACUUCACAUCUAAAAUGAUGGCAUGUGGACAUUUUGAACAAUCUGAAGCAGAAUUGGUAAUUACAAGGGGAUCAUCAACUUUUUCGAAUGCUUCAGCGAGAACACCCACUGAAAUUUCCUGUAAGUUUGGCCUCCGGCAACGUGAAAGAAUAUGAUGAAAUUCUGGAGGUAUUUGCUCAGAAAUCCAACUCUUACCGAGCAAAUCGAAGAGAAAAUAUGGACUGAUGCCAAAAUUCAGGUGAAGCAAACAAACCAAAAGAACCAACUUCAAGACCAACAACGGGUAAUACUCCCUCACAUUUAGGUUCGAAUUUUUUAUCCAUUGUCUGGUAUCAUCCUUAUUGCGAAGAAGGUCCACAACGGUCCUUGUAACAAACUGAAUGAUGGGCUCCAAGCAAUUUCCCAGGUUGAAACUGAAGCUAGGCUUUGCUAAACCUUCAUGGCAGAUGAGCCAUUCAACUAGAGAAGAUUUCGUUGUAUAAAACUGCCCUUUGGAGCAAGCUAACAAAAUCACAAGUCGUUCCAAGAGAUACAAAAAGCAAAUUGGUGUGAUGCAGUCUCUUUCAGUCUUCCAAUUGGCAUUGUAAGCAUCUGCCAAAGCUCGAUAAAGGUUCCAAGCCAAAGAGAUUUCCACGGGUCCAUUGCUCGCCUGAGGAAGGUCUGAUGGUACAUCCCGACAAAUGCAUUCCAUGAAUGCCUCCCAUGACGUAUCUCCUUUAAAUGAUUUUGCUAUUUUUCCGUACAAACCAUCGUCAAGCAUUCCAGACCCAAGAACCAAAGUCGCAAGCUCACCCAUCUUCCCAUGUGAAAAAUGCUUCUUCGAAAUUAUCAUGUUCAUUGUUUCUCUCAGUAAAUUACGAGAAGCCUCACUUCCUCUCAGAGAUACCAUAUUCUCUGAUGACGAUAUUCUCCAGUCAAGUGGAAAUAUGUGACCAAAAUACCUCUCACUGGAUGUUUCGAUGAAACCAUCCAGUGCCUUACCAUACUGGAACGAGUGAUUCCGACAAUUGAGUUCUCUAAGGAACUUGGCAACCUCAUGUGAGAUAGCAAGACAUCUGCUUUGCCAGAAAUUUGACCGAGAACUCUUCACCAAAAAUUGAUAAAGUGCAUCCAAUUGGUGCAGGAGCUCCAUACCAACAGAAGUAAGCUCAGAAUACCAGUACUUUUGAGCUGCAAAGACCAAUUGUCUAAGACCCAAAGCAACCAAUUGUCCAUUUUCUUUGAAGAAGAUCUUUAUCAACGUAUCUGACCCNNNNNNNNNNNNNNNNNNNNNNNNNNNNNNNNNNNNNNNNNNNNNNNNNNNNNNNNNNNNNNNNNNNNNNNNNNNNNNNNNNNNNNNNNNNNNNNNNNNNUUAGAAGGUGAUAAGUUCUUGCAUGUGUUCGGUGCUCAGACACCAAGUAAUUCAACAGAACUCCAACUUGACGUAUUUUCCUUCUCACCAGCAUCUCCACGCAUCCUGCACUCUCUAUAAUUCUGACAAUUUUCUCUCUCCAAAGAUUCCAAAAGCAGACCAAUGAGUCAACGGAAAUCUGAUUCCCCAAGAUCAGUUGUUCAGAAUAGUUCACUGGGUCGACAAGCCAAUCAUAUUCCCAGCAAAAAUUUGAGAUAUUUUGAUGAAGAUGGAAGUCCAGAAUAUUUCGAGCGCACAGUAUUUCACCUCUGACACUUCCAUUUCUACUGGAAGCACUCAAAUGUUCUUUCAUUUGAGCCAAACUGUUCUGUUUAUUUAGCAAAAUGCUUGAUUCUACAGAAACAUAUUCAUAGAAGGUAAUAGGCUCAGGCUUUGCAAGAAGUUUGGCUUUUGCUACCAGCUCCUCCUCCUGUGCAAACUGCUUCAAGGGCCACCCUUUGCUUCCAGGAGCCCAAAGGGAAUAGAAUAAUACGUACCACAGGAUGUUCAUCGACGCUUCCCUGUUUUUUCCGCUCUUCCCAAGUAGAUCAACCUCACGAAGGAUGUCACCUUUCAUCCUCACAAUCUUGGCUGCCUCCAAAAAGUUACCAAAGUCUUCCUCCAGACUUAUAAGUUCAUCGAUGCAUCCAAACCUCAUAAGCAAGUUUCUCAUUGAAUCGAUGCAAUGAAAAGCCUUCACAGACUUCAUCAUGGUCCUGUAGUCUCUGAGGUUGUAGAAAUGAAGGGCACAACUCUCUAAAAAGUCCUGUUCCAAUAUCUCUAUUUCUUUACUUUUCUUCUCUGUUCCCUGCCUUUUCCAAUCCUCAAUGUAUCGCAGACCCAUUUUAAAGAGUUUUUCUUCAGCACAAAUGGACAAGCACUUUGAGAAAAUAUUUGCCCUUGCAUAUGCCUCCGCUGCAAGACUGUAGCACUGAGCAAGAGAGAAACACUCUCCAGCUUUCUCCAAAGCAGAUUCUCCACAUUUAUCCAUGUAUAUUCUACCUGUUGAAGCAUAAACAUAUUUGAUGUCAGUCUCAUUUAUAGAGUGCGGAUGUUCAGAAGAUAAAACAUAGCAAAGGGACAUUUGGAAGCUGCCAGAAAUGCUCUUGUACAGCUCUGCUCUUGUACGGAUCAACUAUAUUCUCCAAUGUCAAGAGAUGAAACAGGAUCAACGUCCGUAGGUGGCUACAAUACCAAGAAGUUUUUGACAAACCAUAGUCAACAUGGAGUAUUGCAACUGGCAGCCACAGCUUUUUUCUAAACUCAUAGGUCUGGUCAGUGUUAAGAACUUAGCAGCUCAAAUUUUUCAAAACUGCUGAGAGAGCAGAGACAGGUUAUCAUAUAGAAAAAUAAUCAACUUCCAAGCCAGGACAUUAAUCAUGAAGUCAACAUUAGUAGCACUUGCUCAAAAUUCACCAAAAGCAUUUCAAAGUUAACAAGUGAGAUCGAACUGAGAUUGAACUACUUUUGUUUUAAUAUCGAAAGAGGAAAAUCAAUUAAACUGGUAAACAAGAGCGUACCGCGCAUGCAAAAUACUACAUACAGAAGAAUGCUAAGUCAAAUUUCCUCUCUCUCUCUCUCUCUCUCUCUCUCUUAGGCAGCUUUGACAUAGCUACAACAAGAAGAAAAGUAAAGAUGCAGCAUAUCUCCACCUUAUCAUUUUGAAAGAAAUGAAAAGAAAAAUGAUACCUGCUAUCUCAUAUUCCUUCAACAUGUAGAAACACUCCGCUGCAGAGUCGGCCAUUCCAAUUGUUUCAUAGAUCUCAGCAGCCUGCCUUCGAAGGUCAGAAGCCUCUUGUGGAUUUGAAACGUGCUUGAGAUCUGCAUCUGCUUUGAAAGCGGAGGCCUUAGCUAAUCUCUCCCCGUAUGUGUACCUUGCUCGUUCAAAGCACGUUAUUGCCAUUGGGUAUUUACCCUCACGUAAGAGCUUGCAAAGUUUAUUAAAAAGAAAAAAAAGAGAGAGAUCAAUAGCUUCUCCAGAGAAGGUGAAAAGAAGAAAAAAAGAAAACAUAGUCCUCCCUUAUAGGAAAAAUCAGAGGUGUAGACUUACACCAAAACAAUGCACUGUCAUUGCCUUAUAACCUCAAAUGAGGAAAAAGAUUAUAGGAAUAUUCCUAUCAUAUUGUUUAUCCACUGUGUGUCUAAAUGAAGCAUUCAGCCAAACUACUAAAAAACCAAUGAAGCUGGCAAAUCGAUCACCAUAUUUGUACCAUAGAACGUCCACAUUCUACACACAUUUUUUUUUUCAGGAUCAGUCAUACUUUUGCAGUCACUAUUGUCAUUCCAAAAUCUCUAGCAUUCACAGAUCAUGUUGACUCCAAAUGAGGCGAAAAUAACAAUUCCGUGAAGAGGAAACAACUAAUAAAGAAAAAACAGAAAAACAGCAAACCUUAAAACCUUGUGACUUCCACUCCUCUGGCGUGCUCCUGACCUGCAUUGCUUCUGCAAAGGCAUGAUCUACCAACCUAACUUGAAUGAGGCACUUCUUCUUCCAGUAGUCGAGAAUUGGUUUGGAGAACUCUAGGGCAUUCUCACAAAUCCACAAUCUUUGUCUUGUCUGAGUAAUUGCGACGUACAAUUGUUUCAAUUCAGAGCAUAAUAUAUUGUGCUUCGCGUCAUCGAAACUUGGGGAAGACCAUUGAGAGCUGUUAUCGAGCAAAGCUUGCUCCUUCAUGUAUCCAUAAAUGACCCUCCAUUGACUUUUCAGAGGUGAUGUGCCAAAGAAGUUGUACAAUAAAACGUCCUAUACAAUGUCACGGCAAAAAAAGUUUCAGGUAAAAACAUUAAAUUUUGUAACCAAAAUAACAGAUAUCAAGUUUCAUGAAUACAGGAACAAUUCUAAAAAAUUUAGGAAAAAAAAUAUCUGGACUCAUUUUGACACACCAGCCUAUCAAGAACAGCCGUAAAGUCACAAGAUUGUUGAUAUUGUCUAUUAACCUAGAGGAUGAUGUUGACAUGAGGCCAAACAAAUUCUACAUUAUGAGUAUCUAGAAGCCAUUGUCUGCAUACAAAAAAGGGCAUAGUAGAAUGAAAAUACCAAUCCAAGUUUUUUUCCGAGUAACAGCUUCCAGCAAAUUGGUCAUGACCCAUUAAAAAAAAAGUUCAUGAAAUCUCUAUGCUGCUACCAUUAAAAUCCCAUGGCAAACAAUCCAACCUGACACACACCUACCUGAAAUUCCAACCCCUUGCACUCCACUAUCGUCAGAACUAGAGCUUGCCCUCUCACAAGGUUCGAAACUUCAUUUCUAGAGUGAUCAUCUCGAACCAAAAUAACCUGCUCUGCUCCAAAGCCAACGAAAUUACCACUAAAAUCACGUUUGCCAAAAAUUGAUAGUAUGGCACUUUCGUCAUUCUCCGAUUCAAGUAAAAUUGGGGCUUCCCCACAUAUAAAGCUAGUUUCAGGGCCCAAAGCAUCAAUGGAUAAAGGGAAAAAAUGGUAAAGGAGAUCAACAACACUCUGCGCCAGUUUGAGUAUACCAGCAUGAGUGCGGAAGUUUUGGCUCAAAUGGAAAAUUUUGGAAAGACAUCCCUUUUCCAUUCUUUUAUCAGGUCCAUCCAUUGAAUCUAUCAAGAACUCCUUGUAGAAAAGGGACCUUAUGUCUUCAAACCUGAAGUCUAUUCCCCUUGCAAUAGUUUGUGCAGUGUCACCAGAAAACACAAAGCCCCCAUCAACGUUUCUACAGAUAUACUUGAACAGUGAAAUUUGUCUCAAGGUGAGAUCCUGCACUUCAUCAAUAUAUACAAAAUCCACUAUGUUGACAGCAAACUGCCCACAAAAAAGACGGCGAUGAAGAUCAUUGACAAUAUCGGCCAAAUCAAAUUCAUCAUUUUCCAUUUUCAUCUUUUCAUAAUCCUCAAAAGCAUCAUAAAUUUCUUCUCUUCUCUGAAUACUCAGAGUGGAUACACGACCCUCUGAAAGUGAAACAUAAGCUGGUCUGUCAAGUUUGCCUUCACAACCAUCUGCUGGUUGAAGACCACCCUUUAUGUGGGACAUUAUUUCAGUGAAGACUCUGGAAGGAUCAAGCCUCCUCCUUAUCUUGUCAUUGAAGUGAGGCCAAUAAACAGCACAAAACUUUUCGUAAGUAACCUCCUUAGCUCUUAGAAGACUUUGUAAGGCCACUGGUCUAGAAUUGAAGGAUUGGCCACGACAAAGAUCCCUUAGAUCGGGGAACCUUUCAAAGAAUGAAACCCCCACAGUUCCGUCUAGCAUCAUCAGAAGCUUACGAAAAGUUAUAACAAGGGGAUAAGAGUUGGGAGAUAUGUCUAAAAAUGAAUCCGGGAUAUCCUUGAAUAAUGCUGCAUCAUCAACAAUCUCAUCAACUGAAGAGCUUUUAACUCUUUGUUUUGCACCAAUGCUGGAGCUGCAGGAUUAAUGAAGCCAGCAAUUAGAAAUGGAAAUAUAUAGUUUUAACAAACUUACGGGAAUACCUCCACUACACAUGCAAUCUCAUAAUUGCUACUUUUAGGUAACUAACAGCAAAAAGGAAAUUAGAAUACGCUGAUGCACCGAGGUUGCAAUGAUAUACUAUGAGACACGGAUAGCGUUUACAUCCGCUGGCAAUUAAAAUUUUCCCCCGCAGCAAGAUUUGUAGAACACAUGGUCCUUUCUCGAUUCUGGUUAUAAUUGCACAAGUUUUAAAAAGGGCGAUUUUCUCUUUAUAUGUACAAUGCUACAAUCACAAAAUUUAAUGUGAAAAUUUCCAAUAAAAUGGUAUUGCAAACUAAAUAAGUGGCACGAAGACCAAAAUAAGGAAUAUUGCUGCACAAACUAAUGUUUAGUUUCAGCAAGCAGAAGAUGUCAAUCUCUAACAUGCAAUGAUUAAAUCUAUUGUCUAGCAGCUAUAUCCGAGUGGUAGCACCCGAGCAUGGCAAAGUGCUGAUUUGACCCAUGCGCUCUUGCCACAUGUUAUAUUUCCUAUCGAACUGUAUAAAAUGAAGUAUCUUGGUUGUGCUUCUCCGCUAGGAGGAAAAUAGUAGCAUGCCAAAGGGGUUAUCUUCUUCUCCCAACUAAUUCAUAAAUAAAAAUAAAAAUAAAAAUAAAAUAAAAAAUAAAAAAUAAAUUGACAAUCCAUUAACCCUUGCAUAUGUUUAAUCAUUGUAAAAAUUGCAGAAUAUUUAUUCUAUUGUUCAAACAUCUUCCCAUGACAUUUUAUGUACCUUCUAAGUUGAGAUACGUGUUGUUUGACCGCAAAACAUAAUUUUGCACUGAUAGUCACAAAAAGCUGGCGCAAUACACAAUCCUCUGCUCCUUCACCGAUUUCCUCAACAUUGAUUUCCAGGGAGGCAUCUUUGCUGUGGCUAAUACCACUUUGGAUUUCCUGAAAUCCCUUGGUUCCUUCAUCGUGCAGUUUCUCAUUUCUAAACAACUUCAUUGUCAGGACUGUAGUUUUACCGGUUCCAGAUCGCCCAAGUAUAAAAGUGCUUCUGGGGAAAAGAAUUAUCUCUUGUUCUUGCUCUGUUACUUUAAACGGAAGACUUGCUUCAUUACCGUCACUGUCAUCGAGCAAAUUUCUGACAAUAUCUGAUGAUAAGGGGUAGAAUUUCAUCAGAAGCAAACUCUCGCUCACUUUCACAUUUUCUACAUACAACCUACGAUCUGAAGCAUCAGCAUCAGAACUACUCCCAAAUUGAUCUUCACUAGGACUUCGACAGCGGACAAAAUCGACAGUACAUGCCCAGGUCUUCGGAACUUGCUGAUCCCUAUAACCGGAAGAGGCAUGUGAAAUGAAAGAAAAUAGAGGGAUAAGAUCAAUUCAAGAUAUUUGAGUCAUCUAUCUGGAAAAGAAUGCUUUCUAAUUUAGUAAGUGAUGUGCUACCUAUCUUCAGUAAGAAGAAAUGAUCAGACUUACCCCUCAAAGCAUUUCUCAUUGCAACGACUAAUAAAAUCAUCACUAUAUGUCUCGAAAAUGCUGUCCAAACGUUUGACCAAUUUUGCCACAUCCUCUAAAGGCAUUACAUCCCAUAUCUUCAGGAUUUGGAUGUAUCUCAGUUCCUUUACAACAUCAAUCGUGCAUAAGACAUAGAGACCUUCAGCCUUAAAUUGUCUCACGAUAUGAGAUGAGUGUUCACAAAUUAUAUCCACAUUCCUCUUCUUUGGUCUCCAGCCACUGGAUAGUCUUGACAGAAGCAUAAUGAUUGACAUCUUUAUCCUGAGUGAUGCCAGCUUUCUGAAAGACUUCAGGAAGUUGUCACUGAAAAGAACCUGAUAAGACCAAAGCAUGACAAUAAGAUAUGUUGUCACAAGUUCUAUAAAACUCAAUGCUUAUUUUGAAAAUAAAUCCGUAGAAUACUGUUGAGCAAAGAUUUUUACCUUCCACCUUGCAUUUCUGAAAAGUACACUGCUUCUGUCAAGCAGAUCAUCAAGCUGAUUAUUCUCUUUCUUCACAUCUAAGAUGGCUUUAGCCAAAUCCUUGUCAUCAUCAACAUUGAAAAAACAUCCACGACUCUUUGCAUUGUCAACCACAGCUUCCCACACAGACUUGCUUUUUGUUAGUGUUUUCCCAUUUCCCAGAAUCCACAGACAAUACCUAUAGAUAGGAAAUUAACUCUGGGAUUUACUUGCUAUAUCACUCUAAAAAUGUAAUUUGACACAGUUAAGAGGAUAGAGUACCUGGCCCUGGUAAGAGCAACAUUGGUUCUCUUAGGACUGGACAAGAACCCAAUAUUCCCACGCGAGUUUGAUCUUACGGUGGAUAGAAUAACAAUGUCUUCUUCACCCCCUUGGAAUCCAUCCACUGACUUCACCUUGACCAUAAAGCCCUUGAUAUUUUCAUACUUUUUCCCGAGUUUAGCUAGAACUGCAGCAACCUGAGCUUUGUAAGGAGAUAUGACACCUACUGUCAGAUCUUCUUCUGACCCAUUCCAAGCUGCAAAGAAAAGGAAAUAAAACCAUCACUACAGUGAAAUUAUUUUUGCAGGUUGCAAAACUUCAAAAGAAAUAUCUUAGGAAAAGAACUAUUAAUGGCCAUCAUAAUCUGCACCUAUAUGAUUAAGUAAUACAUGUAAAAUCCAUGUGCUCGAAGCAAUAUGCAUAAAAUUCUCUUGACAUACCUCUGUACAGAUUCCUCACUAUCCUUGAGAUAACUUCCACCUCAACAGGGUUUCUACGGCUACAGCCAUCAUCACCGAUUUGUUCUUCUCCAUCAGGAAUAUUUAUGAACGAGUAAGGGCCAAACAUUGGCCAUGGCAAAUGACUUUUUCUGUAACUUUUGCUCUUCACAUUUGUCCCGUCCAAAAUUUGGUUUUGAUAAAAUUUAAAAUUCGGAAACAGACUUAUUGAUGGAUGCAUCCGGUAUUGUGUAUUGAAAAGUUGCCUUGAAUAACCAAGUGAACUGAAUCGUUCAAACAGACUCCUUCCAAAACGAGCCCGUCUAGAAACCUGUAAAAAUAAAACAUGAUAUAGAAUUCAAUGGGCAUUAGGUAUAGCACAUUUAGCCCAUCUAAGGUCAAAUGAAGAGAACAAUAUUACAAAUCUUUCAAAACCAAAUACAAAGUUCCUUUUCAGACAUUUAAACAUUACCUUGCUUUCGACCAUAGCCGGCAACUGACACUCAUCUCCAACUAAAAUCAGACGCUUGACACCAGGGAGUUGCAGAGGAAUUACUGACUCGCAUUCUUUCAACUGGGCUGCCUCAUCGAUUACCAGUAAAUUGAGAGGCUCCAUGUCCACAGAGUACAGCUUAUAUGAACUGGAAGCAGUGCAAAAAAUCAGGGAUGCAUGUUGAUAACAGAAGUUGGCUAUCGUGUCCUCACUCAUAAAGUUUGGAAGUUUUAGAUCCUUCGGAGAAUCACGAACAGUUAGUAACAUGGAAAGGCAUUCCUGUCUCUUCAUAUAUAUAUUAUAUAGUGGACCCAUGGACGUCUCAAACGAAAACAGGCUAAGAUCAUCACGUGAAAGAGUUAUCUCCAUCAUCUCUGAAUCCAACUUCUCUCCACAUAAUAAAGAUUCAAAAGAAUCAAGUAAGUUAAGGAGGGAUGUAAUAUUCUGGAAUUUAGUUCUGGAUAUAUGAUUACAGAAAGUAUAGAGGCAUCUCCGCAGGGGCUGGACAGUUUCCUUGAAUCGGUCCUUGAAAAACUCAAGAAAUGAUUUAAGCUCACAGUUAACAUCUUCUUCACUGCUUCCGCAUUCACUCCCAUCAUCAUCACUUCCUGGUUUCCUUCUUUUCGUGUGUUCGUUUUCCAAAAAUAUGUGGUAUUGACGGAGACAGUUGGCAAGAGUAUCUAUCAUGGAAGUUAGACACUGAUGCCAACCAGUGAAUUCAGAAAUGCGCUCUACACGAUGUUCCAAGUAUAUUACUUCAAUGUCGGAAUCAACUUUCAGCCGCUCCUUGUUCCCAAAAAUAAGCAUGUCUCCAAAGUAACAGACCAAACUUUCCGUUUCAGUGCUUAUACCACUAUCUGAUUCCUUUAGCAGCUUUAGAACACGAGAUGCCACUUCCUUGAUGGCAACAUUUGUAGGAGCACAAACAAUGGUUCUAUGUUUCCUUUUCAAGAGAUUAAAUAGCAGUGCAGCGACGGUUUUAGUUUUCCCAGUUCCAGGAGGACCCCAUAUCAGUUCGACAGAUGGCUUGUUCUCACAUUGGAGUUUACUGAGACAGGCCCCCACUGCUUUUUUCUGGGAUUCAUUUAGAUCAUGGCUCAAUCUCUCGUCAAGGCUCUCACUCGCAGAACCAUUACCCUUUGUAAUACAAAGAUUAGAAACUUUGUCAGCCUGCAACCGAAACACAAGAUUAGAAACUUUGUCAGCCUGCAACCGAAACACAUUUCUUGUGAUAAUCCAGACCAUGUAAAUAUGGUAGAAGGUCCUGAAACUUAAUUGGUGUUAAUAUGAUAUAAAGAGCAUUGCACAGCACAAACUUAAAUCCCAUGAAAAGUAUAGUAUAGAAAAUUUUAAGGUCUAGUACUAACAAGUAAGUCGCCACCAAGGAAUUAAUUUGCCCUGUUCAAGACAUAAUUCAUUCAUCUCCAUAUCAUGAAACGGACCAACUAAAAGAAACAACCAUCCUAAUCUAUUGAUGCAACAGCAUGACUUAAAGCAACAUUUAUCUUCUUUUCCGAAGAAACUUAAAAAUCGAUAGGAGUAAAAUGAAGCUUUGAAGCUUAGAUGAUAAUAAUAGCAAUUUCAAGUCUAAAUGGACCGAAGGUACAAAAAGGAAAGUCAUACCACCACAUCUGUGCAGAGAACUUCCUUCAAAAUAUCCAAGUUCCGAGACAUAUGCAACGCAUUCCAUAUCCUUCUGUUAGUGACUAUAUGUAUCAGGAAAAUUGCAUACAUUGGCUUCCAGGAAUUAUUUACUUCAAGGUCCAAUAAUGUCUCCACUUCAAAGUUUGUGGAUGACGUUGCCUCAUCCUCUUCAUCGUCUUUUCCAAUCAUCCUAACUAAUGUGAACGCCCAUCUUCUUCCGAACCUCUCCAAAUCAGCAACAGCUGUUGGCUUAGCAUCAGUUAGAAUCAAGAUAUCUCCAGGCAAAGUUUUGUAUGUUUCCUUCCCAUGACUAUUGGAUUCAUUGCUCCACCGACCGGCCUUAACAGCAUAUGAGUUCCUACUUCCCGUGCAUUCCACAAAUUCAAUAACUUCAGUGAAAGGCAGCAAAUAAAUAUUUUUCAAACGCGAGCACAGACUGGCCCGUGUUUCUUCCAGUAAAGGGUAGACAUACGAUCCAAGAUAAUGCCGGACCGACUGAAAUGUAUCCGGUAUAGUCUCCACCUAAAAAAACAGCUCGGCCAAUUGUCAAAUAUGACCAACGAACCUUGACAUUUCAAAAAAUACUUUGACCAAAUUCCGUAAAACAUAACAUAUACUCCUAAAAUACCGAACGAGCUUGUGAACAUAGUAGAAGCAUAAAGGGUUCUAUUCUACUAAGUUGAAUGCAAGGUUCUUAUAAGGCUAGGCUUAUUAAAAGCACAAUCAAACAAAAAAAAGGAACGAACUAGCAUCAUUGGAAAAUUCUCAGGUAAACACCACAUUGUCGUUGAACUUAAACGAGAAUAAAACCAAAAGGGCAUGAUAAAAGGAAAAAAAAAAGCAAAGAUGAGGGAAGAAUAGAAAGAAACCUGGUCAUGGUAGAGGUUUUCGUUGAGAAUGUCAUGAAGAGACCAAGAGGAGACAAUAUCAAUCAGGUCAUUAGUACCAUGUCUCCUCCUCCUGCUCAAACCACCCUCAGCUAUCUCCACACCCACCACUCUGUUUGGGCUUCCUCCCAAACCCAUCUGAACCCACGUACCAAAAUCUUCUACUUGUUUCUUUCUCCCCUUUUCUUGCUGAUCAAAGCACCAGGGAAAAAUCGCUCUGAGGUUUCAAGAAACUUUCGAGGCAAAAAUUGGGCAAAGCUUGUACGGACAUCAUCAGCCCUUUUUGAGCUCCGAAGUGAGCAUUCUUAGCGACGAAGAAGAAUGACACGGGGAGGCAAAGGGGUCGUCCAUGGACUCUUAAAAGAAGCAACUCGAGGUCUUUUCGUCAACCCACCAUUCGAGGUCUACGAAAGGCGAAAAGAUGGGGGUACCUCGUCUUCCGAACACGGUCUGAUAGCUUUCUUUACUGCCCAAAUGCUUGUAAUGAUUCCCGCUUUUCUUUGCUUAUCCAUGUUUCGAUUUCUUGCAGCCUAAGCUUCGUCAACUGUUUUCUGUCCGAAAUGUAUCAUUGCAUGAGUGAGGUUAUUUUUUGAAGAUAUUAAAAUUAUUUGUUGAUACUGAAAUAAUAAGUAGCUGAAAAAAAAAGGAUAAAUCUUAACUAGAAAAAUAAUUACACGAAUAGUCCCUGCACUUUAAUAUAAUGUGCAAUUUGAUAUUCGAAAUUUUGAUUUGUUCAAUAUGGCUCUUGAACUUUAAUCCAAUAUGCAAUGUGGUCUCCGAACUUUUCAAUUGUUUAAUGUAAUCUCUGGACUUUUGAUACAUACUCAAUACGGUCUCUGAACUAUAUGAAAUAUUGAAUGUAGUUUUUUAAUUGAUUCAAGAGUAGGGAUGACAUUGAACAUUUUGAUACAAGUUCAAGGACUGUAUUGAAUAUGUAUCAAAAGUUUAUGAACUAUAUUAAAAAAAAUUUAAAGUUCAUGAACCAUAUUGCACAUUGGGCUAAAAUUCAGAGACCACAUCAAACAAAUUAAAAGUUUAUGGACUUAAUUACACAUUAGGCAAAAGUUUGGAGACUAUUUGUGUCAUUUUCUAUAACUAGAAGUAGACAAUGAAUGUGAACAUUCUACUUCAAUCGCUUGACUUUUAUUUUUGAGCAUCUAUAUUGAUAUAAUAUAGAAUUAAUAUCAUGAAAAAUUUUUAAUCAUCAAAAACUCUAAAUUGGUACACCUGUCCCAAAUUAAUUUUUAAUAACUAUAAAAAAACCUCAAGAUUGUUGUAAAAUAUCGCGUGGCGAAUAUAUAAUAGAGAAGAGAUUAAAGAAGAGAAAGCAAGUGAACACUAGAGAUAGUAGCAAGAUGAAAGAGCUUUAUUUAUAGUAUCUCACUGUCGUGUUUCUGUGUGAUAGUGUAUUGUACAUCAAAACUAAACUCCUAUUUAUAGGAGAACAAGAAUGUACUUAUCAUUAAUAUCAAUGUAUCGAAUGAUACAUGUACAGGAUAAGGGAGACGAAUGUUCAUUGUAUAGGGAGAUGUACUUAGAACAUUUGAUACAAAUGUACCAUAAUAAGUACAUUGGAUAAGAUGAAUAUAAUGAAUAUUCAUUUAUGUAUUCUAUCCAUUCAUGUAUUUCAUAACACUCCCCCUUGAAUAUUCAUCAUAUUCAUUACGAAUGUGCAUUGAAUGAUACUGCCUCAUUAAAAACCUUAAGCCGGAAAAACCCAGUGGGAUAAAAACCGGACAAAAGGGAAAAAGAGUGCAGAGCACAAAUGUUAUGAUCUCUCCCUUUUAUGGAUGCAUUGAUUGCCUCGUUAAAAACUUUAAGCCGGAAAAACCCUAUGGGAAAAAACCGGACUUAAAGAAAAAAAAAAAAAAAAAAGAGUGCAAUGUAUAUAUAGCCACUCCUGGGACUAAUCAUUAUUGCAUCUUGUGAACUAGCCGCAUAUCAAUGAUGCAAUGCAUAGUUCAUAAUAUCUCCCCCUCAAUAGAGCCAUAUAGCCACUUCUGAGGCUAAUUAAUCUUACAUCUUAUGAACUCGCCUCAUACCAAUACCAUAUACUAAUUUCUCAAAACUUGAUGUUGGCAAUGAUUUGGUAAAAAGAUCUGCAAGAUUAUUUAUGGAUCGAAUCUGUUUAACAUCAAUUUGUCGACUUUCUUGGAGUUCAUGAGUAUAGAAAAAUUUCGGCGAGAUAUGCUUGGUCCUAUCACCUUUGAUAUAUCCUCCCCUGACUUGUGCAACACAAGCAGCAUUAUCUUCAUAAAUUAUAGUGGGAGAAUUGGUAACCGGUAUUAAGCAACAAGAAUUAUGAAUAUGUGUUAUAACAGAUCUUAACCAAACACACUCUCUUCCAGCUUCAUAUAAAGCAAUAAUCUCAGAGUGGUUAGAAGAUGUAGCUACUAGCAAUUGCUUCGUAGAACGCCAAGAAAUAGCGGUGCCGUUAUAACAAAAUAAAUACCCGGUUUGAGAGCGAGCCUUAUGUGGAUCGGAUCUAUAUCCAGUAUCAGCAUAUCCAACUAAAACAGAGUUAGUGGAAUCCUUGGAAUAAUAUAAUCCCAAAUCUAUGGUUCCUCGGAGAUAACGGAAAAUAUGUUUAACUCCAUUCCAAUGUCUCCGAGUUGGCUCAGAACUAAAACGUGCCAAUAAAUUUACCGCAAAAGCGAUAUAUGGUCUCGUACAUUGUGCCAAGUACAUCAAAGCCCCAAUUGCAUUGAGAUAUGGUACUUCAGGACCAAGUAUCUCUUCAUCAGAUUCUCUAGGACGAAAUGGGUCCUUUUGGGGAUCCAGAGACCUUACAACCAUAGGGGUGCUCAAUGGGUGAGCUUUGUCCAUGUUGAAACGUUUAAGCAAUCUUUCAACAUAUGCUGAUUGAUGGACGAUUAUUCCAUUUGCUUUAUGCUCAAGCUCUAGACCAAGACAAAGUUUGGUUUGACCCAAAUCUUUAACUUCAAACUCCCUUUUCAAAUAUUCAGCAGUUUCAGCUAACUCUUCUGGAGUUCCAAUUAAAUUUAUAUCGUCGACAUAAACUGCUAUAAUAGCAAAUCCGGUUUCUGAUUUCUUAAUAAACACACAUGGGCAGAUAGGAUCAUUUUUGUACCUUUCCUUAAUUAGGUACUCACUUAGGCGUUGAUACCACAUGCGACCGGAUUGCUUUAACCCGUACAAGGAUCUUUGCAAUUUUAUUGAGAAUAAAUUGCGGGGAGUGCAUGCUUCAGGCAUUUUGAAUCCCUCAGGAAUUUUCAUAUAAAUAUCAGAGUCUAAUGAGCCAUAUAGAUAUGCCGUCACAACGUCCAUAAGACGCAUUUCCAAUCUUUCAAAGAUUGCUAGGCUAAUGAGAAAACGAAAUGUAAUCAUAUCCAUCACAGGUGAAUAUGUCUCAUUAUAAUCAAUCCCAGGUCUUUGGGAAAAUCCUUGGGCAACGAGUCGGGCUUUAUACCUGACAACCUCGUUUUUCUCAUUUCAUUUUCGGAUAAAUACCCAUUUAUAUCCAACGGGCUUUACAUUAUCGAGGAUACGAGUUACAGGUCCAAAAACCUCUCGUUUAGUUAGGGAAGCUAAUUCAGUUUUAAUUGCUUCCUCCCACUUAUGUCAAUCUUGCCUUUGAUGACAUUCAAUAAUAGAUUGUGGUUCACAAUCAUCAUCCAUAAUUUGAUGAGCAACUGAGAAUGCAAAAGCAUCAUCAAUGAUGAUUUCAUUUCGAUCCCAAAUUUCAUUACAAUAUAUAAUGGAAUUCUCAAUAUUCCCGGGGCUAGUGCUCCUUUCAUGGGUUUGCGCCUCUUCAGGGGCAAUAAGCUCUUUGGGAGCAAGCAUAACGCCAGGCUCUUCUGGAGCGGAUUCUUGAUUCUUUCCCCUUCGUUUUCGAGGAGCAGUAUCUUUUGAUCCUAUCGGUCUGCCACGCUUCAAGUGCGGGGGAUUUUGAUCCAUUUUAACCUGUUCUUCGAGAACAACUAUCCUAGCUGGAGCAUUUGCAGCUGGAAUAUAAGACUUCGUUACCUUAGUAGCAUCAUUAAAUGCGUCAGGAAGUCUAUUGGCCAUAGCCUGUAAAUGGAUUAUGCGCUGCACCUCGUUUUCACAUUCAGGAGUCCUUGGGUCUAAUUGAGAUAAAUUUUUCUUAUUCCAGGAGAAAACCUUAACUGGUUUUUGUUUUGCAGUCAUGGAAGUUGUAGGUAUCCCAAUUGAUGGAAACCUAGUCUCAUCAAAAUGACAAUCUGCAAACCUGGCAGUAAAAAGAUCACCAGUAGUUGGUUCCAAGAACCUAAUGAUAGAUGGUGAACUAAACCCAACAUAAAUGCCCAAACGGCGUUGGGGACCCAUUUUCGUCCUUUUUGGCGGUGCUACAGGCACCUGUACUACACAACCAAAUGUGCGUAGAUGUGAAAUAUUUGGUUCAUAACCAAGAACCAUUUGAAGGGGAGAUUGUAAAAUACUAGCAGUGGGGCGUAAUAUCAAAACUCUUUGAUGUAAAUUCACCAGCAUUACCCAUCCUUAUGCUCUUAAUUGGAUAAUCAGGGAAUUGUGCCCGGAGCUUUAUAAUCUGCCCAAGUAAACGUGCAAAUGCGACAUUGCGCGUAGAUAAUAGGCAAACAUGGGACCAUCUACAGGAUGCGUCCACUAAUACCAUAAAAUAUCGAAAUGGUCCACUUGGUGGUUGUAUUGGUCCACAAAUAUCACCAUGAAUUCUUUACAAGAAUAAAGGAGAUUCAAAAUUAACCUUUGUUAUAGAAGGUUUAAUAAUGAGCUUUCCUUGUGAGCAAGCCUCACAAUUAUAAUCUUUGGACAACAAUACAUUUAUAUCCUUUAAAGGGUGCCAUUUUGUAUUUUGAAUUAUCCUACGCAUCAUUGAAGCGCCAGGAUGACCAAGGCGAUCAUGCCACAGUCCAAACUGAUCAGGGCUUACCAAUUUCCAGGAUGUGGUAGCAUAGGUUUCAACAGCUUUAAUCAUGACACAAUACAAACCCAUAGAAGAAGCUUCUAGCUUCUCAUGGAUGGUCUUUAGGCCCAUCUUAUAAGAGGAAAUGCCAAUAUAUUCCUUAUCUUGCUCAUAAAUAGUCUCAAUAUGGUACCCAUUACGGCGUACAUCUUUGAAACUGAGCAGAUUCCUUUUUGAUCGAAUGCUUAGAAACGCAUUCUCAAUAUGCAGGAUUGUGCCAUUUGGCAAAAUAAUUGCAGCAUUCCCAAAACCAUCAAUAAUCGGAAAAUGACCUGAUAUUGUAUGGAUUUGUGCCUUAUGCAAUGUCAUACUCGAGAAAAAGCGUCUACUACAAAAUAUAGUAUGUGUUGUUGCACUAUCAAGCAAACAAACAUCUUCCUUUUUCUCGGUAUUUUCCAUUUGCAUUUAUAUUGACAACUUCAGGUGUCAAGUAUCAUAAAAGUUGCAUAUUAGUUAUAUAGUCAAAUAAAAUUUCAAAGAUAAAUAUAAGGUAAGGUUCAUAAGUAUUUCAUAAAGAACAAUAAAAAAAAAGUAAUACAUUUAAAGCGAAACAACAUAAAUUUCAAAGUUCAAAUUAUUAUCCACCAAUCUGAUUUAUCAAAGUAAUCAGAGGUCCUCAAAGAAAUCAGAGACACCCAAUGAUGCAUUUGCUACUUCGGGAGCAAGAGGAGUCCCACCAACGGAGAUAUUGUUGGCCUCAACAGUGGUUAUGGCAGUAGGAUUGAUUUCAAUGACAUGAGAUUCACCACGCUUGCCCGUAUUCUUUAAAGAUGCCUGGUAUAGAUCAACAAAAUGUUUUGGCGUACGACAGGUACGUGACCAGUGCCCAGUCAUGCCACAACGAUGACAAAUACUUUCAUUAAUCACCUUCUUUGGCUUCUUUUCUUUGCCAUGAUUCAGGCCAAAGUUUGAUUUCCUAGGGCGGUUAAAUUUCUUGACAUCCCUUCUAGGAUUAUGUUCUUGCCUGCGCUUAUAGCCCUUAAAAUGGCCAGUAUUUUUCUCAAAGUUAGCAUGUGCUUCAGGCAAUGCUUUUGAGCCAGCAGGUCUAAGAUCAUGAUUUUUUAGCAGCAAUUCAUUAGUUUGCUCGGCAGUAAGAAGCACAGAAAUUAAUUCAGAAUAUGUGGCAAACUGACGUUGCCGGUAUUGCUGUUGCAAUACAAUAUUUGAAGCAUGGAAGGUGGAGAAAGUUUUCUCAAGCAAUUCUGCAUCAGUGAGUUUGAUACUGCAUAACUCAAGUCGAGAAACGAUAUCAAAUAAAGCAGAAUUAUAGUCAGACACUGAUUUAAAAUCUUGCAGUCUGAGAUUUUGCCAAUCAUAUUGUGCUUGAGGGAGGAUAACAGUUUUGGUAUGAUCAUACCUAUCCUUCAACCUCCUCCACAAGAUAUGAGGAUCUCGAACGGAUAAAUAUUGAGUCUGCAGGCUCUCAUGCAAAUGACGACGAAUAAAAAUCAGUGCAUUUGCUUUAUCCUUUUCAUUUGAGGUUCCAUCCUCUGUAAUUGUAUUGGCGAGACCUUGCCCUUGGAGGUGCAUUUCCAUGUCAAGGCACCAGGAUAGAUAAUUUUUUCCACUCACUUCCAAGAUGUGGAAUUUGGGCUUUUCAAUAUUUGCCAUAAUCCUUGCAAAAAUAAAUCCUUAAAUUAAUUAAAAGGAUUUCCAAAUAUCCACCGCUACUUCAGGAGCAGAAGGAUACUUUUAGAUUUAAAAUUUUGGCUUCGGGCCAAGAAAAAUAAAAAUGAAUAAUUGAUAGAAGAAGAUGAAGUAUAAGUUGAUCAAUAAAAAGAAUACCCACCUUGCAAAAAUCACUUACUCAAUCGGUAGAUCUUCGUGCUUGCAAAAGUUACUUACUCAAUCGGUAGAUCCUCGUGCUGAUAACGUGUUGUAAAAUAUCGCGUGGCGAAUAUAUAAUAGAGAAGAGAUUAAAGAAGAGAAAGCAAGUGAACACUAGAGAUAGUAGCAAGAUGAGAGAGCUUUAUUUAUAGUAUCUCACUGUCGUGUUUCUGUGUGAUAGUGUAUUGUACAUCAAAACUAAACUCCUAUUUAUAGGAGAACAAGAAUGUACUUAUCAUUAAUAUCAAUGUAUCGAAUGAUACAUGUACAGGAUAAGGGAGACGAACGUUCAUUGUAUAAGGAGAUGUACUUAGAACAUUUGAUACAAAUGUACCAUAAUAAGUACAUUGGAUAAGAUGAAUAUAAUGAAUAUUCAUUCAUGUAUUCUAUCCAUUCAUGUAUUUCAUAACAAAGAUGGUAUAUUUAUAACAAAUUUACCCGUCAAUAUAUUGAUAUAUUGAUAUAAAUAUUUUUAAUUAGUUUAAUAUGAGGCUAGUUUGCGCGGGCUGAAUAGAGUUCGGUUUGUGAUGAGAAGACAUGUGACUGAAAACUAUAUAUAUAUAGUACUCAAGUCUCCUUUCUAAUCUUGAUACACAAAUAACUUUAUAUAAGGAGCAGUUGUAGAAUGCAACAUUGAGCCAAUAUUACAAUUAGAUCAAUGUUAUUCCAUAUUAAAAAUAAUGGAUUUCAAAUCAGAUGCACAAAUCUUUUUGUCUCCAUUUAUUGUGUUCUAAAUUUUAAUUAUGGAGAUCUUCGGAUGGCUUUCAUGGCUUGUAUGCACAUGGUGAACCAUUGUGUCACUACGGGGCACACCGGCUUUGCUUCCCAAAUGCAGGCGCCGCACUAUGAAAUGCUUCGUCCCGAGGCAUCAUGCGACAAAGCCUUUUUUCCUCGAGCCUGGGUGGGUCGCUGUCUCCUCGUCCUCCCUACGUCGUGCAAUGAUGUUUGUUACUGCAGAAAUGCAUGUAAAGCUUUCAUCUUUACACGUCAAUUCCACGUUUCGGCGAACUCAUGUCUCCUUUUCUGACCCCGCGAGUCCGAUUCAGGCUAGCAACGACAAAAGAAGAGGAUAAGGAAGGGGAAAAGCAAGCAUCUUGGUUUCUUUCACCCUAGGACUGUCCAGUGUCCACUGUUCGUCUGCCUGAAAUGUAUCAAAUCUUGAGUAAAUUUACUUUUCAAGAAAUUAAAACUACUUUUUUUAUAUCCAAAACGGUAAAUAGAUCGAAAGAUGGAUGAAUUUGAACCCGAAAUCGACGAAGAACAUGAACUUCUUGCUUAUGAUGAACAUUAUUUAAUCGUUUCGAUUUUUUUAUUUAAAUUAUGAGCAUUUGUAUCGAUGUGUUAUUACAAAAACUUCUCAAAGUUUCAGAUGCCUUCCCAUCGAUGAUUUUGCUAAAUUCUCCGCAGAGUGAGCUGCCAUCAAGACGUUAAUUGAACAAUUGAAAAUGUUUAUUAUCAAGCAUUUUUAAAUUAAAAGAGAUUCAAUUACAUAACUUCUAGAAUCUCUCAAUUAUGUUCUCUCCAUAAUGAAUUAUAACAGUUGUGGACUAUCUAAAUGCUUUCGAGUGAGAUUUUAUUUUUCACUUGGUCUUAAGUUCUAUUUUGAUUCAUUAUAAAAUCACCACUCUUUUUCUACGUUUUCAUUAAUUUUUUUUUUUUUUUUUUUGGUAAAGGGUAAUGAUAUAUUGAGCUAUAACCAGCAAAUAUACAGGAUCCGGCACCACAAAACUUGCACUCAACAAGACAGAAGCCUCUAAUCGAGUGAAAGGGCGCCAGACACAAAACACCGCAAAGCGGUCAACUCAAGCAAGGGCCGAAACAGGAAGCCCAAAACAGCGACGCAGGGUCGAAGCAACAACUAAAAACAGACAGACUAAACAAAAGGCCACGUAGGGCCAAGGAGAAACAACUCGCAAAACUAGACUAAGGCGACCUCGACGAUCGGCAUAGGAGAGUUGAAGAUAGAUGGGUCAAGGCCCCAGUUUCUUUGUAACCUCCUAUUCCUUGGGCAAUCUUCCACGCUUUUGAACGUUAAGGCUUUAUCCUUCACAACUUUAAUGAGAUGCUUCUUGAUAGCCGCAACCACAACCGGAUGAUCUCUAAAGAGGAUGUCGUUUCUAUACCUCCAAAUGAGAUGGCACAAAGCUCCAAAAGAGAAGCGACCAAUGGCGUGAUAGAAAUCCUUACCUGUAAGGAAUCUCAUUGCCCACUGAAGAUUUUCUGUCCAAGUCCCAUUUCUCCAUGGGAGAUUGCACCUGGCCGCCCAAAAGUAGGCCAUGCUAGCCGUGAUGCAGCAACCAAAGAAGAGGUGGUCAAUAGAAUCCGGCGUGAGCUUGCAAAAAGCACAUACUUCAUUCCCAAUUCUCCCAUAAGACAUAAGAAAAGCUUGGGUAGGAAGUCGGUUCUUAGUGAUCAGCCAGAGGUUGAAUUGGUAUCUCGGAGUGAUGGCCUUGUUCCAAAUAAAGGAUGACCAUACCACCUUAUCUUUCCUUUUUCUGAGUAAAUGCCAAGCUGAGGCAAUCGAGAAGACCCCGGAAGGAUCAUCUCUCCAUACAAAUCUAUCCGGAACCCUAGUGAGAAGAGGAAGGGGAUGGUUCCAAGAAUCCAUCACUAGCCUGAAUUCCCGACCCGCCGAAGAAAAAAGGUCUGCGACAACUGCAUACCACGGUAGUCCCGAAUCAGAGAUAGUCUGCUCAGAACAAAUAAGAUCCAGCGGACCUCUCUGAUGCCAAUGGUCAAACCAAAGGGAUGUCCCCUGGCCAUCUCCAAUCUUCCAGUGGAAGUUGAGGCGGAAUUCGGAUCUAAGGUGGAGGAUCCUCUUCCAAGCCCAUGAGCAGCUGCCCGGCGUCUUAGCCACCCAGAAGUUCGCCUUACGAAGAAAAGUAGAGUGAAUCCAUUUGCACCAAAGAGACUCCUUGUCCGUGAAUAGGAUCCAGAUGUGCUUGAGCAUUGCCGCCUUAUUGCACUCUCGCAAACAUCGAAUCCCAAGGCCCCCUUCUUCCCUUGGGAGACAGACAUCCUCCCAGGAAACCUUAGCUCCUCCCCUGCCAAGGCUGGGUCCCUUCCAUAAGAAUUGUCUAAGAAUCUGCUCGAUACGGUCCAGGACUCCUACAGGAAUAAUGAACACACUAGCCCAAUAGGCUUGAAUUGCAUGGAGCACUGACCUUAUUAGCUGAACUCUCCCUACAAAUGAGAGAAAUCGAUGGGUCCAAGAUUGCACCCUAGCCAUUAUGCGAUCGACUAGAGCUACACAAUCCGCCUUCCCGAGCCUCGAGGAAAUAAUCGGUGUUCCUAGAUAACGUACCGGCAAUUUUCCUUCCACAAAACCGAAUGUAUCCUUUAUAUGGCCUCUCAAUUCAUCCGAUCCCCCUGCAAGAAAUACCUCACUUUUGCUAUUGUUCGGCUUGAGUCCACUCCACUUCGAGAAGGUAUCCAGCCCAUCCUUUAGCAGCCGGAUGGAGACCAUAUCCGCACGGCAAAAGAGGAAGACAUCGUCCGCAAAGAAAAGAUGAGAUAACCGAGUGGCCUUGCACCUCCAAGAGAACUUGAAACCCGGCUGCUCCGCACUAGAAGUAAGGAUCCCGGAGAAGACUUCCAUAACCAAGGUGAAAAGAUAAGGAGACAUUGGGUCACCCUGUCGAAGGCCGCGGCUACUAGGGAAGAAUCCAUGGAAAUCCCCAUUCAAGGAGAUAGAAAACAUCGGGGUACGAACACAUAUCAUGAUAAGGCGAAUGAAGUGGUCCGGGAACCGAAAGGCACGAAGAACUGAUUCGAGGAAAUCCCAAUCCACCGUAUCGUAAGCUUUCUGAAAGUCUACCUUUACCGCACAUUUGGGGAGAUAUGGCUGCAGGUGAAAGCCGGCAAAUAACUCCUGGGCUAGGAGGAUAUUAUCACUAAUCCGUCGACCCUUCACGAACGCAUUCUGAGAAGGGCUUAUGGCAUCCUGGAGUACUGAGGCGAUGCGGUUAGCCAAUACCUUGGUAAUGCAUUUGUAGAUCGUAUUGCAGCAAGCGAUGGGCCUAUAAUCAUUAACCGAGGUAGCAUUAGGAAUCUUAGGGAUCAACACCAGGAUGGUGGAAUUAAUUUCCCUUAAUAGUCUCCCCGUAACAAAUAAAUCUUUUACAGCUUCAACCGUCAACGGUCCAACAAUAUCCCAAUUACUCUUGAAGAAUUCGACACCAAACCCAUCAGGACCCGGUGCCUUCCCACGUGCUAGAGAAAAGAUAGUGUCCUUAAUUUCCGUCUCCGAAAAGGGACGACCAAGAGAAGCGAUUUGAUCCUCUGAGAGCGGACGACGGAUGGCUUGCUGAAGGUCUCCGAAGGCCGGUCCAAUAGGAGGAGAGCGUGAUGCAAACAACUCCUUAAAAUGAGCGACAAAUGUAUCCUAAACAAGGCUCGGCUCGGAGACAAGGUUGCCAUUCCUAUCAAGAACCGAUAUAACCCUAUUCCUUAGUUGCCUCGUAGUCACAGAGUGAUGAAAGUAUUUAGUGUUUUUAUCACCCCUCUCAAGCCAACGGAUUCUGGAUUUCUGUCUGAAGAAAGCCUCCUCCUGACUCCUCAACUCAACGAACAUCCUCCGAUGACUUUUUUCUAGCUCUGCCAAGAGGGCAUUGGUCUGGUCGUGCUGAAGGGCCACUUGAGCUAGUGUAAGAGCAUUUCUGGAUUGAGCAACCCUCUCGGACAGGUUGGAGAAAGAGUCUCUAUUCAACUGCUUAAGACGCCCCUUGAGCGCUUUCAAUUUGGUAACCAACCUGAAGAUGGGUACUCCAUCACUCGGGGUCUGCCACACCUGGGUAAGAAUAUCCUGAAAAGAUGGGUGCUCCAUCCAGAAAUCAAAGAAUUUGAAGGGCUUUCUUCGAAAAACUGGCUGGAUCACCUUGACCACCAUAGGAGAGUGGUCUGAAAUACCAUAAGGUAAAAAGGAAGCUUCUGAGUAAGAGAAAUACAAGCUCCAGAGAGCGUUAACUAGAACCCGAUCAAUCUUCCUCGCUUUCCGAUUAGCCCCCGAAGACGUUGACCAAGUAAACCUAAGUCCAACAUAUCUCAAAUCCUCAAGCUCUGCCUGAUGCAGACACUGAUUAAACUCAUCAAAGCAGGGCGGCCAGGCAUUAGUACCCCCUAGCCUAUCAGACGGGUCUCUUAGGGCAUUGAAGUCACCCGCCACCAUCCACGGUAAGUCGAAAAUACAAGAACUCAUCCUGAUCAAGUCCACCCAUAGAGGUCUCCUACGAACAUAAGAAUUCUGAGCAUAGACUACCGAGAUACAACAACAAGAACCUGUCGAGAUCAGUCUAACUCUUCCAUGAAUAACCUGAUCAUUGGAGGAUAUCUCCUCAAAACAGACCAGCGAAGGGUCCCAGCCGAUCCACACCCUACCCCCCGGAGAAGAAUCAUAGUUGGCAAUCCACGUCCACCCCGAUAAUAGACUCGACGACAGAGAGCCAAAAAGAUGUUCCGGGACUUUAGUUUCCAAUAACCCAACCAAACAAAGGCCACUAGAGAGAGCCCACUUACGGACCUCGGCUCUCCUCAAAGGAUUCACGAGACCUCUAAUAUUCCAAUAACCGAAAUACAUCUAAGCUAUGUACAAACUACUCUAAACAACGAAGAGCAAAGGGCAGCAAGGCCUACCUCAAUUUCUGAGGCCUGCGGCGCGAAGCUCCGGACGGCUCAACAGUCUCCACCGGCUCUGGGACAGGGGCUAAGGACAGCAACCUGUGUUGGAUUGUUUCGACUGAUGUAUCUGUCAAGCGAGGAGGCUGACACGGCGCUUCUGGGGAGGAGAUAUCAUCAUCCUCUGAGGAAGAGGCAACCUCUUCCAAACGCUUUCCAGAGUCCUUCAAGGAUGGGGCACGGGUAGGUCGGGACCCAGCCGUGAGAGAGGAGACGACUUUAGGGGGAGCACUGGCGCCCCUAGCCCCCUUGCGAGCAGAGGCGGAAGGAGGGGGAGCUGCUACCAGCGGUCUGUCCCCAGAAGGCUGGUUAGCAGCCGAAGGGAGAGGGGAUUCACCUAUCUUGAGGUCCUUAUUCCUCUUCCUCCUGUUCUUCACCCUUCUUCAAGGUUGAUCCUGGUCGGGCAAAGUUGGAGUCGGUUGAGGGGAGUCGCUAACAUCUGUGGGGGACGCCUGCACAGAGACCGUGGAAGGUUGCAACCGAACCGGAUCUAUAUCAGACUGAGGUGGGAUGGGGGCAUCCACCGCCCGAGGCGGACUCGGAUCAACUUCUGGCCUCUGCACAUCCUGUUCCAAGACAACAGGCGAAGGAGGAGUGGCCGAUCGCGGAUCUGGAGCAUGGACGACCGGCUGAGCAGGAGCAACCGCAUUCUGCCUAGCUGGAUGACGGACAGCCUGUCCUGCAUUCUGUGUGCGCCUCGUGGGAUUUUCCGGGGGGGGAGCACGGCAGUUGUGGCCGAAGGCGUUGCAAUCCGGACAUGCAAUCGGGAGCCAUUCAUAUUCAAUAUUAAUGACCCGAGAGACACCCUUCAAGGUGACUUUGGCCUUCUCAACUCUUGGCUGAUUGGCCGUGACCUCGACACAAACUCUUGCGAAGGAGACCAUCUUCAUUUCGUCGGUCCGUUGAUCCACAUACAACGGCUUCCCCGCCACACUAGCUAUGGCACUCAUGGCUGGCACUGUCCAAAUGUCAAAUGGCAAAUUCCGUAGGCGAAUCCAAACGGGUAUGGUGGAAUGCUCUUCUCUCUUCAAAUCCAUGAGAGGCUUCCACUGCCGAAGUAUUAACGGCACCCUUGCAAUCGUGAUCGGCCCAUCUUCAAGGAUCUUUCUUCUAAAUCCGGGGUCCGGGAUUUGGAGAAAGAGGAAUCCUUGAUCGUCGGCAAAGAUUUCACCAAUCUUGGAGCCCCACGUUUUCCUCAGCACUUGCUCCACCAAUCCGAAUGGUAGCCUCCUUUUCGCAACCAAUUGGCCAACCAAGCAGUCAUGCCAUUUCGGGUCCAUAGCAUCAAGUGCUUCAUCCGGGAGAUUCACAACAGCCUCUCCCUCCACAAAGGUGGGUGGAACAUAAGACAAUUCGGAACCUUUCACAGCCAAUCUAGCCACAUUUGCCCAAGAACGUGCCGGGGCUUCAUGGUGACCAGCAGGUGCUUUCCCUGGGUGCUUGGAAGUUGAGCGAAAUCGGCUUCGUCCUCUCGACCGACGAGCGCGAAGGUCAGACUCCUUCGAAGCUUGCUGCCUAUUCUUCAUUUCUGUGUGUCUGGAUGAAGAAGCCGAUGCCUUACUAGGUCUAUUAGAAGCAGGGAGUGGAAGCCCUUCCGAGGCAGCAGCCAAAGGUCGGGCAUCUCCAGAAUUGAUUCCAUCCCCAGCAGCAGACAAAGACAUUCUCACAAACACCUUAUCUAUAUCCCAAUUGCAGCAAGCGAAAUCACCAUUGAACAGAGAAGACUUACCCGGACUGAAGUCAGCAACACCCCUGGGUCCAGAAGAGACCAAGCUCGCACGGCAGAAGCACUAGAAAACCAGAGCAGCUCGAAUCUACAGCUUGCUGGGAGACAACAGCAGGAGAAGCCAAGCUAGGAAGCUGUAGGAGAAUCCCCCGGCAGAACCGAAUCCCUAGCCGUUUCCCUUCAACCCGCAGAUGAGGAGCGAACAGCAGCUCCCACGUACAGUCACGCGCAGCAACUUAUCCGGAUGGAAUUCCUCAACCAGCUCAACCCAACCAGGGACAUUCGGAGGGUGCGAAGGGCUAAGUCUGGCUAGACUCUCUUCCGAGACUCAGCCAAAAACAGCCAUGGAAUCUCACCAAACGAACAGCAGAACAGUCGGACAACCAGAGGAGAAAACUGCAGAAAUUCGUACCCUAGGCCAGACGAUUUCUCUGCAUGCAGGCCUUCUAUUGCGAAACCGUUCGGUGGAAACGUAGAGGGGAUUGAGCUGAAUCUUCCUUCCGAAAAUCAGCCGAAACCACCCAUCGUAACUCCUCAAACGAACAACAGAUCAGCCAGAAACCAGAGAGAAAAACUGGGCAGUAAUUCGUAACCUAUGCCAGACGAUUUCUUUGCACACAGGCCAUCUUAUGCGAAACCGUUCGGUGGGAAUGUAGAGGGGCCUGAGCUGAAGCUUCAUUCCGAAAAUCAGCCGAAGACACCCAUCGUAGCUCCUUCAACGAACACAAAAACAGCCGAGAAACCAGAGGAGAAAACUGGGCAGAAAUUCGUAACCUGGGGCAGACGAUUUCUCUGCAUCUAGGCCAUCUUUCGCGAAACCGUUCGGUGGAAACGUAGAGGGGACUGAGCUGAAGCUUCCCUCCGAAAAUCAGCGCAUUCCGACACCCAUAGCCACGGGAAUCAGCAACACACCAGACGGAUGAACAGUGACUCGGGAAUCCGAGUUGAGAGCAUCCGAUGAACAGUACCACCCAAUUUUUAAUCCUUAAGGGCGGUACGUUUUCAUUAAUUCAAUAUGACAAUAAGCAUAAAAAAUCUGCACUAACUUUAUUUCAUGUAUUCCUUUCACAAUAAUCUUCAACAAAUACAUUUAGAGUCUACAUGGCAACAUUCCUAUUUCUUUGUUCUUUUGUUCUCUGAAAUAGAAAAUGAAUAGAAAUUCAUUUGAUAACGUCAGUUAAUUUUUCUAUACUCCAGAAUAGAAAAGUGGUUAGGGAAUAGAUUUAUAAUAGAAACAAGAAGUAUAAAAAAAUAUCUUAUUGUUUUCGGGAACAAUUUUUGGAAAUAAGUCAUUUUUUUUCUUUUCUUUUUUUCUCCUUCCUCACGCCGCCACCACUGUUCGCCAUCGCAUGCUGCCUGUCUCUGCCCAACAACCAGCUAGAGGAGGAAGAAGAGGAGAGGAAAAAAAAAAGAGAAAAAAUCUCUAAAAAAAUAUUAAAAAAUUAAAAGAAAUUCUAUGGCACAAAAAAAACUUGUGGGUCGUACUAAACACGUUCUUGCUUUUUUUAUUUAUUAUGAAAAUAAAAAAUUUAUGCAGUUACCAAACGCGUUAUUUUAUUCCAAAACUACUCUAGGGAAUAGAAAUAGCACCCUUCAACUUUGGUGGAUACGUUCCUUAAUGAAGUCAAUAUUCUCGGACAUUAUUAAAGUUAUCUACUACACAAUGCGCUGCCUGUCGUCUAGUAAAUCGUAUGGAAAAAAGAGAUGUGAAAUGAGUAUCACUUUAGAAAAAGUCAGAAGUUCUUUAGACAUAUAAUAUUAUAAAAAGUCGCGCCGGCAAUCUCUCGUUUCAAUCGCAAAGCCAAGGAAAAUCCCCCAUUAACCUUACAUACUCAAGUAGUGCCCUUAUUGAGACAAAUGAUAAGGCAAAGACAUCUAUGUUUAAUGUAAAAGUCCACGAAAUGUUCUAUCAAGUUCAUGUGGAACAAAUGUCUGAAACAUUGGUACAUACAUCAAUAUUGAUAUAUUAUUAAAAACUCUUUAAAAGGUUUGCCCGAAAACUCAACACUUAAAAUUGUUAAUAGUUAGAGACGCCUCAUCCUUAUUAUUUUUGCCAAAUCCUUGACAAAGUGAGCUGCUAUCAGAUGUCGUUUUCUAACAAGUAUUGUCAAUCAAAGGAGAAUCAAUUGGGUAAUUCAUAUCGUCUCUUAAUUAUUUCUCUCCAUAUGGACUUCCAAAACUCCAUUGAGAGUGUGUUUCAGAAGAGUAAAUGCCGUCACUAUGUUAUGCUGUGGAGUGUCGCUCUUUCACUUUGCUUUAAGUUCUAUUUCUAUUAAUUACAAAAACACAAAUCAUUUUCUACGUUUUGAUUGAUUCGGGACGACAAUAUGCAUUAAAAGGUCUGCACUAACAUUGUUUCAAGCUCUCCUCGCAGGAUUAUAUUGAAUAAGUGCAUUUAAAACAUCUGGCCGUGGUUAAAACUUUCUUAUAUAAAAAUGUUGAAAUAUAAUAUUUUGAAAUAUCAGCAGAAUCCUUAGAUUUUUAUCGUUAUAUAGCAUGAUGCGUGGAUCGUAAAGAUGUCACGAGAUAAUCACUUUAAUAAAAGGUCAAUAGACUAAAAGCCUUUAUAAAGCUGAUAACUAAAUUCAAUCGAUUUUGCACCGAAUGCUAAAGAGAUGUAAUAGGUUGGGUAAUCUAUUUACAUUUGAUGUGCAUUCACAUGAUGAUAGAUAGAUAUCAUGUUCCGAUGCUUCGAUUCGGUAAAUUGUAGGACUUGUCAUCAUCGUGCAUGGUGAACCACUGCAUCGCUACCGGUGGAGGUAUUAAAAUGGGUUUAAAAUCCAUAUUUUGACUCAUAUUUAAUGGCAUGAGUCGUAAAUGGGUUACCUUAAAUUUUAAAAACAAGCUUAAGUAGGUUAUAAAUGGGUUACUUAACAAUUUAAUUGGUCUUAAAUGUGUAUUAAAUAGGUUACGUAACAAGCUUAAAUGAAUCAUAAACAAGUCAUUUUUAUCUAAAAUUUUUCUGACUUUUUUUUUAUAAUUUUUUUUUUAAAAUUCUUUCUUAGUUGGUGGCUAUCAUGAAGACAAUUGGCAAAUGGCCACGGACACGGACAAGCUCAUCGACCUUUGGCACCGGCGAGGCUCAAGCCUUGUCAAUUUGGUGAGAUUCGAGCUAGCUAGAGGUCAUCGAGCGCUAGGGGCUAGCGAGCUCAAGCUUGCAAUCUGACCUCUACCGAGGCUUGAGCUCGCUAGCAUCGAGCAAGAGUUUAGCUUUGCUAGAUCUAGAGAGGUGGAGCAUCGCCCGAGGCGAGCUUAGCUUGGCUAGAUCCAACUUUGGUUGAUUUUAAAUUUUGAAUAUCUAUAUUGACGUACUAUCACAAAAACUUCUCACGAGAUUGCCUGGAAACUUGAGACUUAAAACUAUAGAUAGUUAACGAUGUCUCAAAAAAGUGAGCCGCCAACUACUUGUUAUCUGAACAAUUGAAUAUGUUUAUUAUUGAGUUUUUCUUCUUCUUCUUCUUUUUUAUCAAAAGAGAAUAAAUUACAUAAUUUCUACCGUCUCUUAAUUAUUUUCGUCCCUAAUGAGCUAUAAUAAUUGUAGACUAUGCAAAUGCUAUUGAGUGUGAUUUAUUUUUCACUUUGUUUUAAGUUUUAUUUUGAUGUAUUAUAAGUCACCACUCAUUUUCUAUGUUUUCAUCAAUUCAAUACAACAAUAUGAAUCUGCACUUACUUUGUUUCACGUGAUUCCUUACACAAUGGUCCUCGAUAACCCACAUAUCCAACUUUGGUUGGUACGUUCCUUGAUAAUGUCAGAGUAUGAUAUUCUCAAACAUUAUUAAAGUUAUCUAACGUACAAUGCUCGGAUUGUUAUCUAGUAAAUCGUACAAAAAAAGAAAAAGUCUGAAAUUCUUUAGACGAACGGCUUUUCAAAAAGCCAUGUUGGCAAUCUCGCAUUUCAUUCGCAAAGCCGAGGAAAAUCUGUCCCCAUUAACCUCAUAUAAUUCUACAGUUCCUAUUAUUGAGACAAAUGACGAGGCAAACAUAUUUAUGCUUGGUGUAAAUUCCACAAAAUGUUAGAUCAAGUUCAUGUUGGACAAAUGCCUGAAACAUUGGCACAGACGUAAGAAUUACUGGUCAACCUAAAGUGACCCCCUGAGAAGUAUAGAUAUUUCAAUAUUAUGACUACAAUCUACAUUAGACUUGGGAAUCUAUAAUAUGUAUUGUCUGAAGGGGCCAUGAGAACCACGACACCCGAUUUUAAUAAUAAUUAAGUAUGCACAUAAACUAUUUCCAUGACUUGUAAUUUAUCAAUCGAAGAAAGGGUAGAAAGAGAUUUCUUCCAUCUUGGAGGAAAGCCUAGCCUUAUCCAAUGUUCAGCCUAACAUUUUAUCUUAUCUUACUAUAAGUGGUCUUUCAACAUGUGUAAAGGAGAUGAAAUCAGUCCCACUUACAAAAAUUUGGGAUUCAAAAGUGCCUGACUCUGGCUCGAUUACAAUUUAUGAUCAUGUCAACGAGUGGCCAAAUUUUUGUUUAUCAUUCGUCAUUUAAGAUAUCGCAUCAUUUGUAGCACAAUUAUGUAUGCGGCAAAAAAAAAGAAAAACAUUUAAGUCGUAUCGCAACAAUUUUACAUUACAUAUGAGAAGUCAAAUUAACUCUGAAAAGCUAGUCAGUGUAUAUCGCACCUGGAAAUGGAGUCCUGAAAUUUCAAUGUCUUGAGGGACAUCAACAAGCUGCCUCUUCGCGUUGCUGGGUGUCCCAUCCCUCAGUAUCUCGAAGUUGAUCCCGUAAUUGGAACUCGAACCGGGCACUUGGAGGAGAUCGUUUUCGCGCCAUGCAUGUUGACCGUGAUCAUCGAUGGCCGCCGACAUUUGCCUCAAAUAAGCUUUACUUAGCAUGCCUCUUAUCCCGCUGGGCCCUGAUGGCCUAACACGGUACCGAGACCUGAUUUUGGUACACUUUAGUUCCCUUCUUUUUGUACAUUGCUUUCGCAAUCCCGGAAUUUGAGAUCUGCAGUGCUUGUGACAUAGGUUUGAGCAGCUUUCCUCCAUUCAGAAAUUACCAGAUCUCUGGCCUAGACUGUCUUUAAGCAUCGAAUAGGUUUAGAAGUUUCAGAGGCCGAGUGAAAGUUUUCAGGUUUCAGUUGUCCAUCAGCACUUGGCCCCAGCAAAAGAAGCCUAAAUGAGAUAUUGCUCAAUUUAUCUGGUCACACUGCCCACAUACUCUGUUGAUGUUAUAAUCCUAAACGAUGGAUAUGCAUUGCCGGCACAAAGCUAUUUGAUUCCGGCAUUCUACAAGGGGAAUGUCCCUCGACCAAGGGUGUCCACUUGACCAGUGGUUUGAAUCCGAGAUGCCAUCGUCUUUGGUGGGAAGGAUGUCUAUAUGACUUGUUGCAGCCUAAUCCGUUGCCUGUUGCGACCAAGUAAACCCUCAACUACAUUCCGUCGAACCAUGCCAACUUUGGUUGUGCUUUUGUGGACUCCUGAAGGGCAAUCUUGCGAAGGGGGACUCCUUAGGUUAGGCUAUCCCUUGGUGGGAGUUCGCAUGACUGUCACACCCAUCUGGAAUUUGUCCUCUAUGCCGCGACUUCCAUCGACCUGCACAUCAGGCCCAAUCUGCACGAUACUUUCUUCUCUAGGGGUGAGGUCAUAUGAUGCCAUUGCCAUGCGCUCAUGCAUGAGAAAAAUCCCUUAAAAGCAGGCCGCGCGCUGAUCAGUUGCUUGAGAAAGAAGCCUAAUGCCAUCUGCACAGGGUCGACAGUCCUGCAUAUUCUUGGAGUAGCCCCCCAGAGAUGAUGAUUCAAGAUCAGAUGAGCCUCAAUGCGGGCCAAGGGAUGGACAGCUAGUUAUUGUUCUACAAUGAUAGUGACAUGCUAGCUCCUUUGAUCGAUAUAUGUCGAACAAAUCUGCUGGAUCGACAGCUAGUCUUUGUUCUACAAUGAUAUGUGAUAUGCUAGCUCCUUUAAUCGAUAUAUGUCGAACAAAUCUGCUUGAAGAGCCUGAUCGAAGAGAUCCUUGUCUACUUUCAUCGUUUCCUUCUUUUUCUAGAAAUCUCAUCUAACCAAAUCCGCUCGUUAUUGUUUUACAAUGUACUAGCAUGGAAAGGAGUUCCAUGCUACUAAUUGCAAACGAGUUGGUAGUGUCGGUAACUUGUUCAUCUAGUUGCGUAUUGGUAACUUUCAACAAGUUAAAACAAAUAUCAAAGUUUCUUUAUUCCUCAAAUUUACCAACCAUUUUAAUAAUCUACCAACAUUUACUUUUGUGACUUACCAACCAUUUGAAAUUACUAAAUCUUAAUUUGAUUAAUAUACCAACAUUCAGUUAUCAACUUUGUUUUAGAAACUGAUUUCUUUGUGAUUUACCUGUGAUUACCAAUGCUUUCGAAGCACAACUUCAUUUAAAAAUUUCCCACCUUAGUUUCACUCACAUAUCACAUUCAUCACAUUAACAAANNNNNNNNNNNNNNNNNNNNNNNNNNNNNNNNNNNNNNNNNNNNNNNNNNNNNNNNNNNNNNNNNNNNNNNNNNNNNNNNNNNNNNNNNNNNNNNNNNNNNNNNNNNNNNNNNNNNNNNNNNNNNNNNNNNNNNNNNNNNNNNNNNNNNNNNNNNNNNNNNNNNNNNNNNNNNNNNNNNNNNNNNNNNNNNNNNNNNNNNNNNNNNNNNNNNNNNNNNNNNNNNNNNNNNNNNNNNNNNNNNNNNNNNNNNNNNNNNNNNNNNNNNNNNNNNNNNNNNNNNNNNNNNNNNNNNNNNNNNNNNNNNNNNNNNNNNNNNNNNNNNNNNNNNNNNNNNNNNNNNNNNNNNNNNNNNNNNNNNNNNNNNNNNNNNNNNNNNNNNNNNNNNNNNNNNNNNNNNNNNNNNNNNNNNNNNNNNNNNNNNNNNNNNNNNNNNNNNNNNNNNNNNNNNNNNNNNNNNNNNNNNNNNNNNNNNNNNNNNNNNNNNNNNNNNNNNNNNNNNNNCCCUCGUCUCGGGCUCCAUAGCUGGGAGUCUCGCCGCCGCAGAGCUCGCACAGAGGCACGAAACAUGCUGGCAACGUCGGGACCCGUCGCCACAGCUGCUUCCUCGAGAUGUACACCGUCUGAUGAAUUUUCCUAUUGCACGAAUGCACGUAAAAACUACUUCUUUUCCCGUCAUUCCACGCCUGGGUGGGUGGAUUCAGCUCUCUCUUUUCGGACCAGGCAAGUCCGAUUCAGGCAAAAGAUUUUAGAAGAAAAUGACGAGCAGAACCGAAAAAGAAAUCUUGAAUUCUUGCACCCUAAGCUUUCUACAUAUACUAGGCAUGUCCACUGUUUUUUCCUGUUCGAAAUGUAUCACUUGCGCGUCUAUAUCUAUCUAUUGUUACAUGCGCUUUUCAAAGGAUUGCCUAGAAACUUCAAAACUUAAGUAGUAGAUAAUUAGAGAUGACUUCUCCUUAUCAGUUUUGCCUAAUUCUCAAACAAAAAUAGCUAUUGCCUAGACGCCACCUAAACAAUUUGGCGUGUUUUCCAUUUCGAUAUUAUUAAUUGAUGGAAAAUCAAUUAUGUAAAAUUUUACCAUCUCUCCGUCAUUUCUCUCCAUAACCAAGUUUAAUAUUUAUGGACUUUUUAAAUGUUAUUGAGUGCCGACUUCAGAAAAAUUAAACAUAGUCAUAAAUUAUCUAAAUGAUAAGCUUUUAAAAAAUUGAAUCGGUAAUUUUACACGAUUUAACAAGUUUCAUAUAAACAACUGAACAAAAUUCUACCAUCUCUCCGUCAUUUCUUAAUUCUACUUUCAGAGUGAACCCCUUGAAAAAAACUAAAAAAAAAAAAAAAAGACCCGAAUAUUUUAAUUAAAAAUUCGAAUUUUCUCUAUCAGUCUAGUAAAAUCCAGCAUCAAAACCCGCAAAAUGAGAAGGAAACCCGAAAUCCUGCGCUUGUUCUCCUGAAUCCUCCUGUGCCGUGCUUCCGCCGCACGCCGCCGAGCUCCGCCGGUCUCUGCCGCCGCACCCCGCCGGUCCCUCCGUCCGUCCAUAACCUGAAGGUGACUCUUUCUCCUCCUCAGCCCCUCUCGUGAAAUCUCUUCCUCUGCAAUUUCGUCGUCGCCGGCGUCUCUCCGUCGCCACCUCGCCGGACGCGCGAAUCCCUAAUUCGCGGCGGGCAGCUGUCUCCGGCGCUCCUCUCUGGCGGAACCUCGCCGACUGCUCAUGCGCUAGGAACCCCUGCGGCAGGAAAUUCGAGGGAUGGACGUGAUCUCCCAGCUGCAGGAGCAAGUCAACACGGUCGCGUCGGUCGCCUUCAACACCUUCGGCUCGCUGCAGAGGGACGCGCCCUCCGUGCGGCUCUCCGCGAGUUACCCCGAGCCGCCCCCGACCGCCGCCGCGGAGGACGCGUCCAGCUUCGCCGAGCAGCCCAAGCUGAUGAGUGCUGCUCUUGUCAAAGCCGCCAAGCAGGUUCGUGCCUCUCUCCGGCUUGCUAUCGCAAGUUAUUAGCGAGCUUGCUCAUCGUCUGCUUGAUGCAAUUGGAAGAAUUUAUUUGGCUAGGGCUUUAUGAAGAUUGAUUACUUGAUUUGUUGUGGCAAGAAAAGAAAUUUACUUGUGUAUGAGAAUUGUAUGUAUGGCUAAAAAUCUAGGUUAUGUCCGAAGUUUCGGCGGAGAGGUGUUCUUACUUCGAUUGGCUUUUGUGUGCGUUUAGUCUCAGUUUGGGGACUCUGUGCUCAUUCUUGCAGAGGACGUGACCAGAUUUCAUUCAUAAAUGUAUACUAUGGAAGUUCUCAUCGGUACAUCACGGAUGUGACGGGUAGUUUUGGAGAUGUAAUGCGAGUUGGGUAUUUGGUUCAAUUUUGUGUAUGCCUCCAUGUGUGUUAGUUAUUCCUACAGAAGAAAACGGGAUCUUCUCCAUUUCUUUCUUGUGGAUUCUGUUGGUGGAUAUAUCUGCCACGAGUAUCUCAGUGUGCAUAUAUACAUAGAAUGUGCUGUAAUUUGGUUUACACGAGUUGAAGAAUCUUUCGACUCAUAUGUGUGAAAUUGUUAUGCACAUUUGAAAGAGCCACCACUCUUGUGUAAUCACGACUAUCGUUUCUUUCAAAUGUGUUUCUGCAUCUUAAAGUCCGUAGAAUGGUUUGAGAUUGUAACUCCAUCAGCAUUCUUGAUCUUGAGUAAGGUGGAUUGUUGGUUUCUGAUUUCUAUCUCAUUCACUUUUGUUUUACUUCAUGCUUGAAGUAAAAUGAUGGUCGGUGUGACAUCCUAAAGACUCUGCAGCAUCAGUAUAUUCUUGCGGGUGAAGGCAAUUAGCCUCCAUUUUAGAGAUGAAGCAUUAUGCUUCAAGUUAUAAAAUUUGGUCUCUUUUCCACCAUUUGCUUUGGCAAUCUCAAUAAAGUUCUAUCGGAACUCUUUUUCUUCUGCAGUUUGAUGCCUUAGUAGCGGGACUUCCACUACCCGAGGGAGGUGAAGAAGCUCAACUCAAAAGGAUUGCAGACCUCCAGGUUAAGAGGACCCAUGGUUUUUGGCGUCUUUAGUUCAUUAUUUAUGUUGUUUAAGGCUGUUUCUUAUUCUUCCCAAAUUACCUUUGCACAGGCUGAGAAUGAUGCUGUAGGACAAGAGCUUCAGAAGCAACUUGAAGCUGCCGGUAAUUGCCCUAUCGAUGAGGGUGUGAGGGCAUUUGUCUUGUUCAAUUAUGUAUGUCAAUUUUUGGUCGAAAGUGAUAUUUUCUAUGAUUUUUGGCAUUGGCAGAGAAGGAAUUGAAGCUGGUCCAGGAGCUAUUCAGCCAGGCAACAGAUAACUGCUUCAAUUUGAAGAAACCAGAAUAAAAAUUGAGGACGCUUCUUUUCUUUACCUUUUUCGUAAAAUUUAUGCAGUAGAGAUGAUGACUGAGAGAAAUAGGCAUUCUACUGUUCGAAUAGUGCAAAGAGACCUGAGAUGUCGCAACUCUGUACGGGUGAGUUUUGAAGUCCUUGCCGAGUAAAAGUUUCUCAGUGCACAAAAAGCAUCAAUAUGGGCAUCAAGCCAACCA